rnacentral:lncRNA from 1 species
UCCUCCAAGACCGAUGUCCCUUGGCUCUUGUGGGCCAAUUCAAAAAAACCCUAGCAGGAUGGAUAUAAAAGCAAGAACAUUCUCCUGAUGGAGGGGGCGGCUACUGUUCAAAAAGGAAGAGGACGAACCCCUAAGAACACCACAACGAAAUCAAUCAGAGCGAUUCUUGAGAACCCAAACAAAACUGUAAAACUGUAAAAGAAUGGAGUCCAAAGGAAAAGGAAGAGAAGCGGUCACGUAGCUAUUCAUCUGCUCCAAAGUACCCCGAUCCGGUAAAUUUAUUGCCCAUUUCUGUGUUUCAUUCCCAGAUUCACGAAUGUGUGCAUAGUUCCUCUCUUCCAUGCUUUGUUUUAUUUCUCUGCAAAAUGAUUGUCCUUUUUUUUGUCGUUUGAUGUUGGAGGUUGACUUCGUGGAUUAGGGUUCAAGAUUUGGUAGAUGUUAAUUGGAUUUGUUCCUUUUUUUUCUUAAUGCUAAAAUUUGGUUUGUGUAAGGAGAAAUAAACUUUGAUUUAUUCCGUAAGUGUUUCAAGCUGAGAAGAGAAGGAUUUGAAGCAGAGCAGAACACUCCAUGUUCCGUUUCGCUUUUGUAUCAAAAUGAGUUUUAAGGCCAAAGAUGAACGGUGCCUUUCCCCUUGCCCGAGAUUAAUAUUGUUUUGUUUCACCCUAGGCUUUAAUGGACUUCUUUCUCGGUCACGACGUGUGGUCGUUGGGGUGGGAGAAUCUUGUCUCCACACGUGUCUUCUUGCGGAAGGUGGAGGGUUUUGCUGGAUCCGACCCAUGGUUUCGGAUAACCCGGAUGGAUCCUGCCCAUUUGGUCCUCCUAGGUUGACGACCCACCCCCGCUCCGUCUACUUUGCUGCGCCUUGAUGGGCCUUAGGAGCAUUCAGGGCCCACCGUUUUUUUUUACUAUUUUUGUUGGCAUUUGUUUUGUUUUUAUUAUUUCUCUUUUUCUUUUCUUUCAAGAAAUAAUUUUAUUUAUUUAAAAUGAAGUUUUAUUUAUCAAUUAGGUUUUUUAUCAAUACCUAAAUUUUAGUCAUAUAAUUCACUAUUAUUAUUGCUAUUAUCAUCAUCCUUAAUUAUCUACUGUAACUUAGACUUUGAUUUAUUUCCUUCUUGGGAUUUAUGUGAGUUAUCACACUUAGUCUUGUUUAUUCAUUCGUACAAAUUGUCGACUUUUGGUGCGUGUGAUAUGUCACAAUCACGAUAAACCAUUUCAAUUUCAUGAAGAAAAAAGAAACCCAUUCAAACCAAUUUCAAAAAAAUAAACCAUCCAUUUCUCGAUUCAAUGUCGAGUCCAUUUUUCAAAUACCUUUUAAGUCGACUGCUUUUAAGCAUCGCCAUCAACCUCACAUAGCUUACUCUUGGGCUUCCUUACAAUAAGACCGUUCUCUCGCACUUACACUCAUGCAUUGUUUAUUCGUUGUUUGAGCCCGAGUUAUUUACUUAAAUAUCUUGAGUACCCAUUUGACAAAAUGUACCCUCAUUCCCAUGAUGUGUAAUAAUAUUACUAUUUUAUUUCUUUAUCUUCUUGACUACUUAGCUAGCUACUAACACGAGAAUAAAAUCAACCUUUUUCAGAAGGAUCAAGAAAAUAAAGACUCGACCCAACGUCGAGCAUUUUCUCUAUAAACAAUAUUCAUUUGUUUCUACCUAUUCCCUUUUCUUUCAAACCACUUCAUUUCAAAUCUUUCUCAAUCACUCAUCAAAUGCUUGAUCCAACGUUAAGCCGCUUUCACAAUAAAAACUCAAAAAACAAAUUAAUAUUUAAGACCUUUUCAAUAAAGAUGGAUGUGGAACGUGGUGGAUACCACGCACUCCUGAGACUAAGGUUCGAGAUGGAUGUCUCGCCGAUCUUAGCUCUCGCCGUCAUCCAAAUCUAUCUAUUUUGUUUCUUUCAAACCUUCAUUCAAAUUUUUCUUAAUCGUCCAUCAAAUACUUGAUCCAACGUCAAGUCAUUUUCAUAAUAAAACGAAAAAAUACUUAAUGUCUAUCUAAACACUUUUCAAUAAAGAUGGAAAUGGAACGUGGUGGAUACCACGCACUCCUGAGACUAGGAUUCGAGAUGGAUAUCUCGCCUAUCUUAGCUAUCACCAUUAUCCAAAAUUGUCAAUGCAGUUUCUUCAAACCCUUUUCUCAAUCAAAAUCAAAAACACUUAAUUCUUAUUAAAUACUUUUGCAAAUAAGAUGGAAAUGGAACGUGGUGGAUACCACACACUCAUAAGACUAGGAUUCGAGAUGGAUAUCUCGCCCAUCCAAGUUCUCGCCAUUACUCCAAAGACAUCAAACCAAUCAAUUUCUUUUCUCGCCGUCGUGCGAUUGAUCCUUAAACCUUUUCUCAAAUGAAAUGUACUUUGUUUCAAAACAAUGCAAGGCAAUGUUUCUCCACCUGUUUUGGGUAGUCUAACAAUGUUUUCGUCGAUUGACACAAAGUAGCUUUCGCUAAAAUCGGCCAACAAACAAACAUUUUUCUACCCAGAACUACAUAAGCCUUGAUUUCUCUAUUGAGAUACGUAGGAGCAGGAUUUGUAAAUCUUGUCAGGCCCAUUAAUAAAAAACUUAGGUUUAGUCCUUUGUCGAAAAUCCUAAAACAUUUUUCUCUCUUCCAUUCUUUCUUUCCCACCUAACCACUUGAAAAGCCUAACAUUUCAAACUAACACUAAUGCGCACAACUAACAUAAUGGUUCCCGUUGAGUACAACGGACGUGAGGGGUGCUAAUACCUUCCCCUUGCGUAAUCAACUCCCGAACCCUGAUUUGGUUGUGACGACCAUAAUCAUUAUCGUUCUUUCUUGGGUUUUAUCGAUAUUUCCCCUUUCCUUUUAGGAAUAAAUAAAGUUAGGUGGCGACUUUGUUCAGUCCAUCAUUGCGAGCGUGCAAUUUUGCACUUCGCUAAGUCGUAUUCCCAUUUUCCGAGGUACGACAGAUGGCGACUCUGCUGGGGACAUGUCGUUCCCUAAGUGAGUCAAGCCUAGUUCGGACGUUUGUGUGCCUUUGUUUGUUUAAUUGUGUGGAUUUUCUUUAUUGCUUUUAUUAUCUUUAUUGUUAUAUUGAUAUAUCUGUUGUAUAUUGGUUCCACUAUGUUGUAGUACUUGGAUAUUUUGAUUGCAAAACCUGUGGGAAAGACUCUAUACCCGAGUCUAGAGUGGAAAAAAAAUGAGAUAGGACGAUGGUUGAGUAGUACAGACUCCCGAGGUGAAUACUUCAUAAGAGUCGGUAUGAGAACCUCACUUAGAGUAGAUCCUUUUGCAAAUAUUAUCGCCCGAGGUGGAUACUUCGUAAGCUUCAAUAUUUCAAAGGGGUCCAUGACUCUAAGAACCUUUUAGAACAUUGAACCUUUGGCCAACUAGAAAUGAUGGUUGCGUAGUAUGGAUUCUCGAAGUGAAUACUUGUAAGAAUCGGUACGAGAACCUCGCUCAGAAUAGAUUCUCUAGAUGGAGUUGACGAUCAGAAAGUAUUUUCCGUAAGCGUCAAACAUUCUUUCGAAUCCAUGACUCUUAGUACCCGGUCUAGAACCAAGUUGAGGGUUGCGUAGUACGGACUCCUGAGGUGAAUACUUCGUAAGAGUCGGUACGAGAACCUCACCCAGAAUAGAUUCCCUUGAUGGAAUUGAUGACCAGAAAGCAUUUUCCAUAAGCGUCAAAUAUUCUUGCGAAUCAAUGACUCAGAGGAUCCUUUGUAACAAAACCUUAGAUCACACCCGGUGAGAACCCCAUUUUGGAAAUGCAAUCAGAUUUAUCCAUACCUCGGGCCUUUGAACCUGUACCAAAAUAAAACAUUGCAUCCAUUCAUUCAUUGCAUACGCAUAAAAAGCAAAACUCUUAGUUUGUUUCGCAUUAUUUCAGGAAUCCAAGACUUGUUAGCAAAAUGAAUCCUGAGAGAAAAAGCACUUUUCAAUUCAAAUACCAGAACGUGGACCUUGCCAGCCUGCAAAAGUUGAAUGCCAAAGUAACACCGAUCAAACUCAACAGCUUUGUGCAAGACUAUGGAAGAAUUCUGGACAUCCUAAAUGAGAAGAUGGACAUGAUGACCGCAAUGACUAUUGCUCAGUUCUAUGAUCCACCUCUACAUUGUUUCACGUUUUCUGACUUCCAAUUGGCUCCUACCUUGGAGGAGUUUGAGAGGAUCAUAUGCCGGAAUUUAAAGGAUCAUGAUCCAUUUCCGAAGUUUGAUGAAGGUAUUCCUCCAAAGAGGAUAGCUUUAGCUUUGGGUCUGAAGGUUUCUGAAGUCGUGGACAAUUGGGAUGUGAAGGGAGCUUUCAAUGGUUUUUAUAGGAAGUUCUUGGAAUAUCAAGCUAAGAAGAUGGAAAAGGAGGGGAAUUGGGAAGCUUUCUAUGAUGUGUUAGAUGUGUUGGUAUAUGGGAUAGUUCUUUUCCCAAUAUUGACCAUUUUGUGGACCACCUGGCGGUGAGAAUCUUUCUCUCUGGUAACCCUGUAUCGUUCCUCCUAGCAGACCUUCACUACACUCUCCAUGGUCGUCAUGAGAAGAAGGGAGGAACCAUUUUAUGUUGUGCACAGCUGUUGCAUGCCUGGCUUAGAUCUCAUAUGCCCGAAGAUGGCCCUUUCGUCUCGAAGGAACUCAAGCCCUCCCAGAAGUUAGCUUCCCUCACCUCCAAUCAUGUUAAGUGGUAUAUCAGGGAUUGGGAAACCGAGGAUGUUAUUGUCAGCAUUGGAGACUUCCCUAAUGUACCUUUGAUAGGAACCAAGGGUUGCAUCACUAUAACCCUGUGUUAUCUUUGAGGAAGCAUAGUUACCCUAUGAAUGGCCCUCCAAAAGCUGAAGCUUUAGAGCCUUUCAUCUUGCACAGUGCUGAAGCAGAUCAUCCCAUAGUGAAGAAGAUCAAGAGGUCUUGGCAAGCAGUUAUCAAAAAAGGUAAGGAAUUGGGUAAGAGAAAUGUCAUCGCUCGAGAGCCUUAUACUUGUUGGGUGAGAGAGAGGGUUCAAAUGGUUAAACUCCCUUUUCCAUUUGAUCCUUCUAUCUAUUUGUCGGUUCCUGGGCCAGAACCCAUAUUACCUGAAGAUGUGGAGAAGCUUAAUGCCCGUAUUAAGGAGCUGGAGUUGGAGAAUGCUGACUUAAGGAUUAAGCUCGACCGAGUCUCGGUAGAGAAUGGGAAUUUGAAAGAUGGUCAACAGAAAAAGGACAAAGAGUUUGAAAUCUCCAACAAAAUAGCUAGGGAGUUUAAGGCAAGGAGAGAAAAGUUCGGAUAAGCGCUCUACAACACUAAAUCUGUGUUCAAGACAAAGGAGGAUGAGUUGGAUAUAUCUUUACUCCGGAUUCAAAAACUCAACAAGACUCUGGAAUUGACCCUUGAAAUGAAAAGGGAAGCACGAAUGAUUUAUGAGAUUCGUACUCGUGAACUGGAGAAUACCAUUCAGAAAUGCAAGGAUACUCUGGAACGCGAGAAGCUAAGGACUGAAGAGUUGGAAAGAGUUUGCACACGGCUGAAUUAUUAGUUGGAACAAGCCAAUGCUAGAACCCAGGCACUUGAAAGUGGAGAUCAGGAUGCUGCCUAUCUGAUGUUGCUGGGUGAGUGCAGAUACUGGAGAAACCUCUAUAGGGACAUAGAGGUGACCAAGGCUGAAGACUUGCGCAUCAUUCAAGACCUCCAAGGGCUUUACACUGAGUGGAAGGGCAAAUUUCUGAGGCUGUCCAGAUUUGUAAAUUCCGUCAUGCAAGAGCUACCUGAGAAACUGCAAGAAGAUGAUUGGUGCAUAUGUCCAUAGAACACCCCACAUUAAGUUUUUAAUUUUAUUAAAUUUUGUAAGGCGAUGUUGGAAGGGUUGACUACCGACCUUGCUAUGGUUCAGAAAUCCCAUAAGCCAUAAGCAUUUUGUUUAUAUUUGAAUUUUGUUCUAAACUAAUGAAAAAAUUGCUUUUGGGAUUCAUUUUAUUGUGUUUUAUUGCUUUAUUGCUUUAAAUACUGGUGAACAAAUGUUGUGGCAUUUCUGAAAUGAAUGACUGAAACUAACCAAGAGUUUUGCAAACAAGAUGCAUUCAUACAUGCAUUCAUACAUUUUCAAAUAGAGUCUUACUCCGUCCUUUCUUCCUCCAGUUUCACGCUGAAUCUUCAACACUCGUAUAAUACCCGCGCCCGAGCAAGACAAAGGAUGGCUGAACAAGAGCAAGAGAGCGCCCGAGUUAGAGUUGAACUAGACGAGAUCAAAGGGGGCAUGUCCCAGAUGAGGGAAAUGCUACAAGCUUUGACUUUCAGAUUUGAGGUUCUGCAAGCGACCGUGAUUUCAGAGACCACGGGAGCAGUAGUGGAAGUCCAACAUCAGAGGAUGUUACCCUUAACCCUUCCUCCAUAUGGGAUACCUUACGACUUCGUCCCUCGAGCGGAAGUAGUGCACAACAUGGGGCAAUCUAUCCAACAAGCCGUGCCAUUACCGGUUUACACUGAUGCACGCCCAGUCAUCCAUAUUGUUGCUCCACCAGCUGCCUAUGCUAGGCAUAUUUCACACUUUGAAGAUCAACAUCACAUGUAUUAAACUAUCGACUCAACCUUUGUUGGUGACGAAGUAAGAUUUGAAGAUUUCAGAGAAGUAAAGGAGAACAUGCAACUCCUUGAGAAGAAGUUCCGAGAUUUAGAAGGAGACCACGUCUUUGGAUCUGUCACCAACGAAAUGUGCCUUGUAUCUGGGUUGGUGAUUCCGGCAAAAUUCAAAACUCCAGAAUUCGACAAAUACAAGGGGCAUACUUGUCCAAAGAGCCAUCUCAUCAUGUAUUACCAAAAAAUGGUUGCACACUUGGAAGACGACAAGCUGAUGAUCCACUAUUUUCAAGAUAGCUUGAGUGGGGCUCCUUCCAAGUGGUAUUUAAGUCUGGAUUAGAAUAGGAUCAGAUGUUUCUAAGACCUGUCAGACGUGUUCAUAAAACACUACAAAUACAACAUGGACAUGGCACCUGACAGAAGACAGUUGCAAAGCAUGUUCCAGCAUGACAAAGAGUCCUUUAAGGAAUAUGCUCAGAGAUGGAGGGAACUGGCUUCCCAAGUUGAACCACCUCUAGCCGAGAAGGAAUUGGCUGAACUAUUCAUCGACACUGUCCAACCCCAAUUCUAUGAGAAGAUGGUUGGAAGUGCUUCCUUGGGAUUCUCCGAGUUUGUUGCUAUAGGGGCUCGCGUCGAAUAUAGUUUAAGAAAUGGCAAACUUACAGCUGUAACUGGAACUUCAAAUGCUAAUCCGAAGAAGUUCACUGGAGGGUUUCCCAGAAAGAAGGAAGGGGAAACAAAUGUUGUGACUGUUGGCCAAGGAAGAGCCCCUCCAAGAAGGAGACAACAACAAUAUUCACCUCAGCAGUAUGUUCAACAACCUUGUCCAUAUCAGCAGCCCCUGUAUCCCGUCCAGUACGCCCCACAACUGUAUGUAGCUGUUGUGACGCAUGUAUUCAAUCAACAACCUGCUCAGGCUUAUCAAGGGCCUCCAGUUUAUCGACCAGCUCCAGUUCAACAACGUGUUGUGAUUCCUCCAUCUUAUCAACAAGCACCAGCAGCUCCUGUCUAUCAACAGCCGAGAGCUCAAGUUCCAAGGUAGAAUGCUCAGAACCAGAAUAGGAGGUAAGGGGAUAGGGCGACAUUCAAUCCAAUCCCAAUGUCGUACGCUGAGCUUUAUCCCUCCCUGUUACAAAAGGGUUUGGUGGUUCCCAGACCUAUGGGACCUCCACCUGAUCGUCUGCCUCCAUGGUACAACCCUAAUGCACACUCACCUUUUCAUGAAGGUGCCCCCGGGCACGACCUAGAGGGUUGCUAUGCUUUGAAGCAUAGGGUUUGUGAGCUGAUUGACAACAAGAUCAUGUCUUUUAAGGAUAUGGGACCGAAUGUGAAGAAUAAUCAUCUUCCUCCCCAUGGAGAUCCCGCAGUGAACACCAUUGAAGAUGCCUCUGUUGGUGUUAUGGUUGAGAAGGUGGAGGGUGUCAAGACUCCUUUGGUAGCGCUCCAUGCCCGGUUGAUGGAAUUUGGCCUGAUUAAUGUUAAUCAUGAAAAUUGUGAAGAGUGUGCCACAUACCCAAGGGGGUGUCAGGUGGUACGAGAUAACAUUCAAGAUUUGAUGAAUAAAGGAGUGCUUCAGAUAUCCAAUGUUAUGAAGGAUGAAGAUGUGUUGGUAAUUAAACCUUGCUUCAAUUUACCCGAACCUAUUGAAAUCCCAUAUUACAGUCGUGGAGUGGUUCUUACGAAUAGUCAUCCGUCACCCGUUGAGAUAUGUAUGCCCACGCCUUUUCCAUAUGAGAGCACCAAGGUUGUGCCUUGGAAAUAUGAGAUUAUCGCUGUGGACAAGGUUGUUGAAGGAAGUGCAGACGUUGAAGUGACAGAAGUUGUAAGUGAAGACGUCACCAAUAUUGCCGAAAUGAGCAAAUGACCCAUAGUGGUCGAAUCUAUACGCCUGAAUUCAAUGUGACUCCUCAAGGGUCGACCAUGGAACCUACAGUUGCAACUCCCACUAAAGAACCCGAAGUGGUCCAAUAUGGAGAUGUUAUUGAAUUAUUGAAGUUGAUCAAGAGAAGUGAUUACAAAGUGGUGGAUCAACUGCAUCAGACACCCUCUAAGAUCUCUAUUAUGUCUCUGCUAUUGAACUACCAAGCCCAUAGGGAGGCUUUGUUGAAGGUUCUUGCCCAAGUUCAUGUAACACAAAACAUAACAGUAGACCAGUUUGAUGGGGUGGUUGCGAACAUCACAGCUUGUAAUACUUUGAGCUUCAGUAGAGAGGAAUUACCUGAAGAUGGACAAAAUCAUAAUCGUGCUCUCCAUAUCUUGGUAAAAUGCAAAGAUGAUGAUUUGGCAAGAGUCUUGGUUGAUACCGGGUCUUCUUUGAAUAUGAUGCCAAAGAGAACACUCGCCAAGUUAUCUUAUCAAGGACCAGCUAUGAAGCCUAGUGCCUUGAUAGUGAAAGCUUUUGAUGGUUUUAGAAGACCCGUGAUUUGAGAGGUUGAACUGCCCAUAUUGAUUGGCCCUCAUGUAUUCCUAAUUAAUUUCCAAGUCAUGGAUAUUAAUCCAGCGUAUAGCUGCUUAUUGGGGCGUCCUUGGAUUCAUGCGGCAGGGGCAGUCACCUCCAUUUUACAUCAAAAAAUGAAUUUUAUGGUGGAUAAUCAACUGAUCAUCAUUUCUGGGGAAGAGGACUUUGUGGUUAGUCAUCUUUCAUCCUUCAGAUAUAUCGAGGCUGAUGAGGACGCUUUGGAAACUUCUUUCCAAGCUCUUGAAAUAGCCAAUGCCAUAUUUUUGGAGAUGAGGGACCCGGUUGGGAAAGCUUGUUCAUCUUUCGCUUCUUUGAAAAGCGCCAAGUAUAGUAUUGAAGGAGGAAACCCUGAAGGUUGGGGUCAACUUAUUGAUGUUCGUGAGAAGCAUGAUCGCUUUGGUCUGGGAUAUGUGCCUUCCACUGCGAAAGGAGCCCGAGUCCCUGCAAAGGACAACACUCGAAGCAUCCAGGAAGUAUUCCUCAGUACAGGAUUCAUCCAUGGAGAUCAGGUCAAUGCAAUUGGAGAUAACACUAAAGACGAAGAUGACCCAUGUUUGGUUUACCGGUGUGAGACAGCUUUGAACAAUUGGAAGGCGGUUGAGAUCCCUGAAAUUUUUCCUUUGUCAAAGUAAUAAUUAUUGUUUUUCCUUUCAAAUCCUUAGCUCUGCCCAAGGCUAAUUGAUCAUGUUGUAGGGCCCCUUUUCAUUUUUAAAUAAUCAUUAUCAGUGAAAAAAAGGCAUUUCGUUAAAUUCUUAUUAUUUAUUUGCUUUCUCUUAAGAAAAUGCCAAUCUUUUCAAAAGACAAAAACUUUUCAUUUGUGCAUCUUUUACUUUUCCUUUUCUAAAAAAAACCAAUCAUUCAAACAUACAGAAUAAAUGAUAACCCCGUUGAAUCCAAUGACUCUACUCCCUCUCAUAACUUUGACUCCCCUAUCUACCAAGCUGAAGAAGAGGGCAAGGGAGAUUGUUACAUCCCCGACGAAUUGGCAAGGCUGCUCGAGCACGACUCCAAAGCCCUUCAGCCACAUGAAGAACCGGUGGAAACAAUCAACCUUGGCACAGAGGAAGAGAAGAAAGAAGUCAAAGUCGACACCACGCUUGAAGCAAGCAUCAAAGAGAGAUUGGUUAAGCUGCUACAAGAAUAUGUGGAUGUAUUUGUAUGGUCAUACCACCAAGCAUGCUUGAAUUUUAUAUUAUUGCUUUUAUUAUUUUUUUUACUAACCAAAAGCACAAAAAUAUGUCACUAACUUGUUUUGUUUUGUAGCUUGAGCAAUCAUGUGAUCCAAGGCUCCUAGGAGACCCCUAUGUUCAUUGAUGUGGCUAGAUGAAGUUGAAAGCAAGCAUGGAAAUGGUUCCCAAAGCUCUCAAUCAUCAUAUAUGCCUCCCAAGUAUCUCAAUUUGUCAAUUUGAUCAAGAUAAACCAAAAGGCUUGAGGAUUGUUUCCCAAGGAAACCUUAAUUCAUCUGUGCAUUGACUUUGCCUUGCUCAUGAAGCAACCUCAACCCAUGAUCAAAUACAAUCAAGGGAAGUUAUUUCAUUCAUCAUUUUAUGCAUAUAUGUGUCUAUGUGAGUAUCCUCAAUCAUCAAUUCAUUAAGAUUUGAAGUUUGGACUUGAGAAGUUGAUCAGUCAAUUCAUCUGACUAUUUUGAGAUCCACUGAGACCUAACUUUUGAUGUGUUUGUCAAAUGAAGCUGACCCUGGAUCCAAAAUGUUCCUAAGAACCAUAUGAACAACUUUCAUGUUCAUCAAAAAUUUAUUUUAAGCUUGGAAGGUCAUCAUUCAUUUCAAAACAUUAUAGGUCAUUUUGACUGAAACCCUAAUUUUGGGUCAACUUCCCAAGGACAUAACUCACUCAUUUUCCAUGAUUUUGAGGUGGGAUCAAAUUCAUUGGAAAGUUUAAGAUGUCUAAUUCAAUUGUUAUGUUGAACAAAAUUUCAUAAUCAUAAACGAAACACAUGUGAUAAUACAAAACAUUAUAGGUCACUUUGGACCAAAGCCAUUGAAUCUUGAAAAAGCCCAACUUCAAGUGCCCAUAACUUUCUCAUAAAAAAAUCCAAAUGAUGCACAAUUUAAGUCCAAAUUUAUUGUCUUGAAAAGAGCUACAACUUUUAUAUUUAAGGUUUUGCCAUUUGAGGCUUGCAUCAUUGAAACAGAAGGGCUUGAAGUUGGUCCAUUUUGAAAAAAUUCACAUACACAUGUUUUGUACAUUGAACGUCAUGGUCUAUUUUCAUAAAUUUCCCAAUCCCAAAUGGAUUUUUGUUCAACAUAACAAUUGUUCCUCAUGUCAAGACCUUUCCAACCAUAACCCACAUGACCAUGUUUCAAUUUGGCAAAGUGCAUUUUCGAAGAGGAGAAGAUUUAUGUUCAUUUAUGGAAACCAUGUCAAAACUCCAUGCACAAGCCAAUUCCAUGAGAUCUGCACGUCCAAAACACUCCAAUUAUGCUUCAGCUUGCAUUUGCCAUCAAGUUUGGGCCUCCCACGUGCCUGUACAGGCCCAUGCAUGGAGGCCCUCAUUCCACAUGCACACGAGUGUGGCAAGGCUUGCAUCAUCUCAUGCUAUAAAUACAUGUGCUUGGCUUCAUUCAUUGGCAACCUUAAGGCGCCUAACACUCUGCAGAAUUGAAAUCCCACCUUUCACUCAAAGGAAUUUUGCAUUUCUUCUUCAAUUUUUUAGUUCAAUUUUCAACUUCCUUGGUUGAUUAUCGAGCUUCAAUUCCUAAGCCUAGCUACUUUGCCAUCUCAAGAUCAUAUUGCAACAAAGAAUUGGAAGAGAUCGUGCCUUGUAAAGUGGCACUUCAAAGGUUGUUGUUCAAACUUUUUCCAUUCGAAUCUCCCUGGAUUUUGCUCAUUUCUUGUGUUUGUUGGUUCCUCUGAAGUCCUCAUGUGAGAGGCAAUUGAUCUGUGCAUUUAAUUUCAUGAAUUGAUCAAGUUCUGAUUGGACACCAUAAACUUCCAUCUCAGAUUUCUCUUCAUGUAGUGAUCUUGAGUGGAAACCAAUGGUACAGGGGUGAUGUACAUCACCCCCAGCUUUCCAAUGAUAUGAGGAUCGUGUAUUUUUAUGAAGCUUUUAAAACUUGCAACUCUGGCCGGAGCUGGCUUGCUCGCCGGAGAAGACGGUGGUGUACACCACCGUCCCCCAUGCGUGGAUACAUUUGGACCGUUUGUUCUCUUUUCCAGUUUGAAUCAGAGCCUUUGGAUGUUAUGACUUUUAAUAAUGAUGUGUGUUUCUCCUUUGACUCUGGAUCACCAUGAGCGUGCGCCUUACAGCCUCUUGAUGCGCGACAUCAUUUAAUGAAAUCAGAUCAAACGCUCCCUGUUUUUUUCUAAUUUCUGAUUUUCUAUUUUAUUUUCUUUUUAUUUCCUUUUAUUUCAAAAAUUCAUAACUCUUUCAUUUUAAAUCCAAAAAAUAUGGAAUUAAUUGUAUCAUUUCCCUUUUUAAUUCUAGUUGCUGAAAAUGAUUUUUAAUAUUUUUUAUGAGUUCAUUUAAUAUUUUUUGUGAAUUUUCUCUUUUCUGGUUAUUUUUUAAUUCAUUUAAAAUAGUUUCCAAUAUCCAAAAAUGCCAAAAAUAUUUUGUUAACAUCUUUGAAUGAUGAUGAAUCCAUGAAAAAUAUUCUCAUCAAUUUCUUAAUUGAUUUGAGAUUUAUUUGAGAUUUUAGUUUAAUUAUGUUAUUUUUUAUUCAUUUUUAAUUGUUUAAAAUUAGUUUCUGGUUUCUAAAAAUGAUGAAAAAAAUUGUCAAAUCUUGUUUGACCUUGUUAAACUUAGGAUGAUCCAUUUGGACUUUUCAAAGUUGAUUUGAAAUGGAUUUGAAGUUUGACCUUUAUUUGUUUAUUUUAAUUCAACUAUUAUUUUAAUUCUGAAAAAUACCAAAAAUAUUUUAUUUGUUUCUUGACUUCUAAGUUUCAUCUUGCUUCUGUUUACCAUUGGUUGACUUUGAUUCCAUUCAUGUUUGAUCAAUGUGUGUUGGAUAUUUCAUUUGAAUUCCAUUUAUGUACAUUUUUAUUCUUCUUCUUCAUCAUCUUUUUUCUUUUUGAUCAAUGAGUUAAAGAUUGGUGGUUAGCCUUGACAUAUGAGAGGCUUAACCUUCCUUGGUUCAAAUCAAAUUCAUCUUGAUCAAAGAUCAAGUGAAUUGCUUUGCAUUAAAAGAUUGGUGGUUAGCCUUGACAUAUGAGAGGCUUAACCUUCCUUGGUUCAAAUCAAAUUCAUCUUGAUCAAAGAUCAAGUGAAUUGCUUUGCAUUAAGGAUAGGUUACUUCUUGGUCAAGCAAAAAACCUAAAUCAAUACAAGAUCAUUCUUCUUUUCUUUGGGCAUGGCAAGUUGUAGGAGCUUGGCUCACUAGUCAUGAUCUCUAACUUGUGUUUGUUGUCUAUAGUUUUAUUGACCGACCUCAGAUAGGUGUGACUACUACAUUAGUCCACUUACGAUUACUUAACAUGGAGCUAAAUUGCCUUAUGACACACUAAUACUAACUACUAAUGACUAACUUUUAAUUCAAACAUUUAAUUCUUGCAAUUUACUUUAAUGCAAUUUAAUAUUCUUGUACAUUAAUUCAUUUGCUUCUGCCCUUUUCUCACUAGAGCUCAUGUUUAUGUUAAUGCAAUUUGCCUUUUGCUCACUUGAGCACAUUAUUGUGUAUAUACUAUUGUGCUUGUUUUGUUUUGUUUGAGUGAAUCCAAUGCAAAUGAGCAAAGGACUUAGUUUUUAGGACCUUACCUAUGCUAAUGGAGUUUGAAGAACAACUAGGCCUCAUGCCUUUAGAGUGCUAAAAAUGUCAAAGAGCAACUAGGCCUCAUGCCUUUAGAAUGCUUAAUGUUGAAGAUGAAUUGAAAGGACCUAAUUCUAAACUCACUCUUGUCCAUUCUUUCUAUUGCAUUGUGGAACUUUUUUAUUUGUGUGUUCUUGUGUGCUAGGAAUCCUAAAUUUGAGCUACAUAGAAGAACCAUUGUCAUGAGCAUCCAAAGUGAGAGAUACAAAAGCCAAUUGGAAGAUUCCUAGGAGCUUGUUUGGUUGUGUGCUUGAUUGCUUGAGUUAUUUGCUUAUUGCUUGCUAAUUCCAAAGGAAAGGGAACAACUUGGAUCAUCACUAUGAUCUCAAGAAGGGAACUCCAUGUGGUUUUAUUUCUCUUCCUUCAUCUUUGUAUGUUUAGGACUUAGCCAUUCUCUUCUUCUCUCCACUCUAACCCAAGCCAGACGUUUAUGCAAACAUUAACAUUGUUUUCAAAAUUAGAAACCUAAGCACUAUGCUUCUGAUUUUUUCAAACUCUUUUCAUAACACUUAUUUUGAAUUGAAUCCUAAGUCAACUUUGACCUUACUUUGUAAACACUUUUCAUUGGUAAAUACAACUCACUCAAUUGUUUAUGUUGUUUCAAUGGCCACUUCUUACCAAAGCUUUUCAUAAACAUUAGCUAUUAGGUUUGAGUUAUCCUAGAGGUGGAUAUAAUACUCACCUAUAUCCUUAGUGAUAGACUAUAAGUCUUCCAUGCUUAUUAUAGGGUUAACCCCUCACUAGCAUGUUGAAGCUCUCCUCACAUGGUGGAUUUGUGGUUUUAGGUUGAGUUUUCUCCUUUGAUAACAAAAGACUUAAGGAUUUUGACCAAUCAAUUCACCAACUUCUUUUGAGAUUUUUUACCCCGAACUACGAGGUUUUGAUCCUACCUUUUUAAGAUGGUACGUAGGCAUGGGUUUAUCAUUCAAACACAAAAUUGUAAAUAACUUGUAUAUUCUUUCUCAUCUCCCCAAUCAUGUUUGCACAAAUAUUUUUCACAAAUACCAACCUACCUUACAACAUUUGUAAAAAGGGCUCCCUUAGAGUACUAAGGAUGUUUUGGGUGCUUAAAACCUUCCCAUUUUAUAACCAACCCCCUUACCCAGAUCUCUGACAUUUUUAUUAGUUUUUGAUUUGAUAAAACUUCUCGGUUUUCGUUUGCUUUCUAACCUUUCCUUUGGAUAAAUAGAAGUGCGGUGGCGACUAGAAUUGUAUGAUUUACUUUUGAUUUAGUCAAUAAAUCUAAAGGUAACGAAUACCCCGCUACACCUUGUAGUGGCGAAGUACCCACAAUGGGUAGCUAAUAUUGUACUUGUGCCUAAAAAGGAUGGCAAGGUGAGGAUGUGUGUUGACUAUAGGGAUCUGAACAAAGCUAGUCCAAAGGAUGAUUUCCCCUUACCACACAUUAAUACUCUUGUAGACAACACUGCAAGUUUUGUUGUAUUCUUCUUUAUGGAUGGUUUUUAUGGAUACAAUCAAAUCAAGAUGGCUCCAGAUGACAUGGAGAAGACCACUUUUAUUACCCCUUGGGACACGUUUUGCUACAAGGUAAUGCCUUUCGGUCUCAAAAAUGCCGGGGCAACUUACCAAAGAGCUAUGGUCACUCUUUUCCAUGACAUGAUGCACAAGGAGAUAAAGGUCUAUGUCGAUGACAUGAUCGCUAAAUCUAAGAAUGAAGAAGAUCAUAUGAACCAUCUGAAGAAGCUGUUUGAACGCCUCAGAAAGUUUAGAUUACGAUUAAACCCUGCAAAAUGCACAUUUGGUGUCCGUUCAGGGAAGUUGCUUGGUUUAAUCGUUAGUCAAUGAGGUAUUGAGGUAGACCCUGACAAAGUACGAGCUAUACAAGAAAUGCAUGCUCCACGCACCGAGCGAGAGGUUAGAGGUUUCCUUGGACGUUUGAAUUACAUCUCAAGGUUUAUCUCACACAUGACGGCCACGUGUGAGCCUAUCUUCAAAUUGCUUCGAAAAGAUCAAGUUGUUGAAUGGAAUUCUGAUUGUCAAAGUGCUUUUGAGAAGAUCCGUCAAUACUUGCAAGAGCCUCCUAUUUUGAUUUCACCUGUCCCAGGAAAGCCAUUAGUCAUGUAUCUGGCCGUACUUAAAGGGUCAAUGGUAUGCGUGCUAGGGCAACAUGACGAAACUGGUCUGAAAGAACAUGCUAUUUACUAUCUGAGUAAAAAGUUUACUGAUUGUGAAAGUCGAUAUUCUCUUUUGGAGAAGACUUGUUGCGCGCUGGCAUGGGUCGCUCGUCGUUUGAGGCAGUACAUGAUUUGCCACACUACUUUGUUGAUCUCGAAAAUGGAUCCAAUAAAGUAUAUAUUUGAGAAACCCGCCUUAACUGGAAGACUAGCCCGUUGGCAGAUGCUCUUGUCAGAGUACGACAUCCAGUAUGUAACCCAGAAAGCAAUCAAGGGAAGUGUUUUAGCAGAGUAUCUCGCUCAUCAACCAGUUGAAGACUAUCAGCCAUUGAAGUUUGAUUUCCCCGAUGAGGAUAUAAUGGUGAUAAAGGAUUGUGAGAUCCUAGGCCCAGAUGAAGGACCAUAACCAGGAUCUCGAUGGAAUCUCGCGUUCGACGGUUCCUCCAAUUACAGUGGUCAUGAUGUGGGAGCUGUUUUGAUGAAUCCAAAUGGUGGCUUUACCCCUUUCACAGCAAGGUUGUGCUUUGAUUGUACGAAUAAUGUCGCAGAAUAUGAAGCUUGUAUCCUUGGUCUUGAAGCCGCAAUUGAUCUUCGAAUCAAGAUCCUUAAGGUGUAUGGAGACUCCACCUUGGUGACCUAUCAGGUCAAAGGAGAAUGGGAAACUCGUGAUGCGAAGCUGAUUCCGUAUCGUGCUCAUGUUGUAAAGAUGAUGGAAUACUUUGAUGAUAUCACUUUCCAUCACAUCCCAAGAGUAGAGAAUCAAGUGGUUGAAGCUUUGGAAACAUUAGCAUCAAUGUACCAAUCCAUAUUCUAUAAUGAAGCUCCACUUAUUCGAAUCGAGCGAAGAGAUGAGCCUGCUUACUAUCAAUCGAUUGAAGAAGAAACUGAUGGUAAACCUUGGUUUCAUGAUAUCAAGCGAUAUCUUCUAAGUCAAGAGUAUCUAGAAGAUGCUACAUUGUUGGAUAAGAAAACGCUGAGGAGGUUAUCAUCCAAAUUCUUUUUGAGCAAUGAUGUGCUUUACAAGAGAAACCAUGACAUGGUUCUGCUGAGAUACGUGGAUAGACACGAAGCAGGCCUGUUGAUCAAGGAGAUUCAUGAAGGAUCCUUUGGAACCCGUGCUAAUGGGCAUGCCAUGGCCAAGAAGAUUUUGAGAGCUGGCUAUUAUUGGUUGACCAUGGAGUCCGAUUGUUUCAGCUAUGCAAGAAAAUGUCAUAAAUGUCAGAUCUAUGCUGACAAAGUGCAUGUAUCGCAAACACUGUUAAAUGUUAUAACAUCACCUUGGCCUUUCUCAAUGUGGGGCAUCGACAUGAUUGGUGCUAUAGAGCCUAAGGCUUCCAAUGGUCAUCGCUUCAUCUUGGUUGCCGUUGAUUACUUUACUAAAUGGGUAGAGGCUGCUUCCUACACCAAUGUGACAAGAGAUGUGGUCGCUCGCUUUAUCAAGAAGGAGAUUAUCUGCCGCUAUAGAAUCCCGAGCAAGAUCAUUACUCACAACGGUUCAAACUUGAACAACAAGACAAUGACAGAAUUAUGUGAGAGUUUCAAUAUUGACCACUAUAACUCUUCUUCAUAUCGUCCAAAGAUGAUCGGGGUUGUUGAAGCCGCCAACAAAAAUAUUAAGAAGAUCCUGCAAAAGAUGGUGAAAACUUAUAAGGAUUGGCACGAAAUGCUACCCUUUGCUUUGCAUGGAUACCGGACCCCAAUCUGCACUUCAACAGGAGCAACCCCAUUCUCUUUAGUGUAUGGGAUGGAAGCAAUUCUCCCAGUCGAAGUAGAGAUGCCUUCAAUGAGAAUAUUGAUGGAGGCCAAGCUAGACGAAGCUGAAUGGAUCCAGAACAACUAUGAUCAACUUAACCUCAUUGAUGAGAAGCGUAUGACCGCUCUGUGCCAUGGAAAAUUGUACCAGCAACGAAUCAAGAAAGAGUUUGACAAAAAGGUUCAUCCUCGGGAGUUCAAGGAAGGGGAUCUCAUGCUCAAGAAGAUCCUGCCCAUACACAAAGAUUCCCGUGGGAAGUGGACUCCCAACUAUGAAGGCCCAUACAUUGUAAAAAGAGCAUACUUUGGAGGUGCUCUAUUUCUCACAACUAUGGAUGGUUAAGAGCUCAUUCACCCUGUGAACUCUGAUGCAGUCAAAAGAUACUAUGCCUAACAAAACCCGGUAGACUGAAAACCCGAAAGGGUGGUCCAGGCAAAAGUUAGGGAUAAAAAAACGGUAGCUCGCUAAGUUGAAACCCUGAGAGGGCGACUUAGGCAAAAAGGAGUGUCCCAGUGGAUUGAAAACCCGAAGUGGCGAUCCAUGCAAAAAUUAGGGACAAAAGGCAUAGACUGCAUCAAUGGUCACUGAUAAAUAUAGAAGACCUAAAGGUGGAAGAUCAAUUAAAUUUCUCCCUUCAGAAGCGAGGUUUUGUGGAGUUAUUGUUAUUAGGGAUAGUAGUAGUCAUUGCGAUUCAAUGUAAACCUUUCCCUAUUGCCAUUUUCAAAUGUGUAACAUUCCAUGGAGCUACACCAUUUGUGUGUUACCAUUCUUGAAUAAAUAUAAGUUUUCCUAUCAAAUUCUAUGAUUUGCUAUUUUUCUCUGAUUUUCUUUGUUAUGCAAAAUGCCAUUUAUUUGUUAAUAAUGAAAUUUUGAACUCAAAAAGAACUUUUCAACAUAUUGAGAAACACAAUUUUGCUUUGACAUGUGGAAAUAUUAAAAGGAAAUAUUUCGUCUUUCCCCACAAGUCUCAAGUUGUAAGAUUUAUCUUGGAUGAUUAACAUAUAUCUCCAGAGAGCACGAAUUUAUCAUUCUCCGAAAGGAUUACUGGGCCAGUUGUAACUGUACACUUGAUGGAUCCUCCUUUGAUGUAUUUAGAGUCACUCCUUUGGUUGAGUUGUUGGUAUUAAGGAUUCGGUAUCUCCAUUAAAUCCUUCUAUAAAUUUCCAGUUUGCAUGUUGUCCGCAUUUGCAUAUCAUGAUCAUUCAUGUAUCAUGCAUAUAAGCAAAAUCAAAAUCAUGCCUAGCCCGAAGUAUACUUCGUGCUCAUUUGCAUAGUAUCAGGUCUCGUUGCUGAGUUUGUCCCUUGACCUCUAAGUCCAGUUGUUACUGGCAUCGUUUGUUAAGUCUGGUUGUCACUAGCAUCUUUGUCAAAUCCAGUUGUAACUGGUAUCUCCCUAAAUCUGGUCAUCACCAACGUCUUCUGUCAAGUCCAGUUGUAACUGGCGUCCUAUUUCUAAACCUAGUUAUAACUGGUAUCUUUUUUAAAAGGCUGGUUGUAACCAUCAUUGUCUACGAGCCCAAUUGUUAUUAGCAUUACCUCUCAAGUCCUGUUGUAACCAGCAUCUUAUCUGAAAUCCAAUCGUAAUUGGUAUCUCAAGCAUAGUUGUAAUUGGCACGUUAAUAAAAUCCAUUUGUAAAUGGUAUGAUAAGUCUGGUUGUACCCAGCAUUUGUUUUAAGUCCAGUUGUUAUUGGCAUUAUCUAUUAAGUCCAGUUGUAACUGGCGUACAAAUUGUGAAGUCCAGUUGUAACCGGUAUCCUUUUGAAGUCUGGUUGUCACCAGCGUCUGUUAAAUCCAUCUUUAAAUGGUAUCUUUAAGUCUGGUCGUCACCAGCACCCUUGAAGUCCAGUUGUAACUGGCACUAAUCCGUUUGAAGAUGGUUAUACCAUAUGUUUAUGGUAUAAGUCGAAUUGUGGUUGGCACCUACAGAGAGUUUUUCUAUCAUGUUGGCUCUAGCUUCCUAGAAAGUAGUCGUUCUGAUUCUUUCAUUGACAGGAAUUUCCAAAAAAAUUGGUCGGAUUAUUUUCUUGUGAGAUAUCUCUGGAUUUAUAUAAAUAUAUUCAAGUUGUCAUCAGGUCAUGUCUGAACUUGCUGUCAGAACUUUUUGAUAUUCCCCAUCAUUGUCAGGUCAUGUAUGAACCUGUUGCUGAACUUUUAUUCCAGUGUUAUCGGGUCUACAAAAAUAUAUAUGCAUUCGAGUUGUUAGUAAGUCAUGUGUGAACUUACUGUCAAAAUCUCUUGUACUCCAAGUGUCGUUUAUCAACUUUCACUUUGAGUACUCCCCAGGGUGUGUCUGACUCUCCAGCAGGAUUGUUAUCCCCAGCGAGUUUUUUUACCCCAGUUGCCUAUUUCCCUAUGGGCCAUCAGUAUUCCCCACAGAUUAUUUUGUCUGGCAUACAUCUCCUAUUAAGGAUUCACCAUGUCCCUAACAGAUAAAUUCAGAAGUAAAAAGUCUUUCACCCAUGCAUAUCACAUCAUAGCAUUUUCAUUUCAGGACCAAAAUAUGGGUAUUCUUGGUAUUUAACUAUCUCCUGCCAUGACCAUAUGAAGGUUGUCUUACUUCAUAUUCUCUGGUUGAAGAUACUUAAAUAGGGGAAACUGUCACACCCCGAUUUUGCCCCCGAUAUUCAUGACAUUAUUUCAUUCAUUAUUUGUUCCUCAUGAUUUUGUUCCUCUAUUAUGGUACCCUUUUUUCAUAAGCAUCAAGUGGUCUCCUUUUCUGUUAUUAGUGCACCUUGUUGUUUUAUGCGCAUUCAAGGCAAAGUUCUACCGUCAACAUGUUUAGAUACAUAGGUGCUUUCCGCGUCGGUAGUAAUCAAGGAAUUCGAGGAUUAUUGUGUUUGGAUUAGAGUAUGUGGUCAAAAAUAUUUUUCAUGAAAAGCUUUGAUGAACAUUAUUUGAUUCAAGGAGAUUCCAGUGGUUUACCAUGUUUUAAGGGAGAGUCAUUAUCAUGUGAGUUUUUCAAGAGGCACCAAGCAUGGUUGUCGUCGGAAUCAAGCUAGUGGCCGAAGGCCAUCCUUUAUUUGCAUGGAUUUUAAUAGAUAAUUCAAGGGAAACACAAAAGGAGUCUCAAUCAUGUUCACUAAUUUGGUGUUGAUAUUGGGAUUUAAAUCUAAAGGGGGCAUUUGGUCGAAGCUAAUGAUACUCACAUGCAAACUUUAUGCUUGGAUCCUAAGGUAACAAAUGUGCAUCAUGUUAUUGUUAACCAAGCGCCAUUCAAAGUAGGCUAAGACCAUGUAAGAGCAACUAGUAUGUUAAUUGAGGAAAAUUACAGGCCUUGUAUAUGAUACAAUAAAAUUAGUUGUUGGCCAUUAACACUGGACCAAGCAACCUCAAGAAAAUCUAAUUUGAUUGGUCGCUUCAAGACAGGUUCUAUUUCAAUUUCUACAUCACAAAAUGCUAUCAAAACUUAAUAUCCAAAUGUGUAGAAGCUUGAUGGUAGUUGUGUCUUCUAUAUUCCUUACCACCAUACAAUUGGGUCGACAAUGUAUCCUUAUUACUCAGGACCAUUAUCGCACUUAUAAUUGUAAUACGGUUGGGAGGAUUCACUAUGGUCCUUCAUAGCCAUAUCAGCAUCUGCAAUUAUUUUCUUUGUUGACCCAAUUGUUGUUUCAGCAACAGACUUAGAAUCUUCAAAAAUAUACGGCAUAACCAUUUGCACUGCUAGAUGAUCUUGUGGAUUGCUGCUUAUUUGAUUCAAUUGACGCACCCUUCAACCUGUGCUAGGAGCUGCAAAGGAGAAGCAAAUCAACACUCCUUCUGUCAAAGAAUGGCUUGAUGACUUGAAAGAUGCUGUCUACGAUGCUGAAGAUUUACUCAACCAAACUAGCUAUGAUUCCCUUCACCAAGAUGGAGAACAAACUACCUGCAGCAAAACAACAUCAAAUUGUGAGAUGUGGCAAUAUUUUUGAGAAAAAAAUAUACACAAUGGAACUGCGGAUGCUUUUCGUUCUAAAGUGGUGGAAACCGAGACCAACGGUGCAAAGUUGGAACUACAAAAUCCUAUUGAUUCAGGUGCACAGAUGGAUGACAUGAAAAAACCAUUUAUAACGCCAUCGCCACCUUCAACCUGCAUCCCUAUGCGAAGACAUACUUUCCAUUCUUUUUCUCGCGUUUCACUGCAGUAAAAAAUCAUAAUAAUUUGGUAAGGCAGUAAAAAUUCACAAACAACAAAAAGGAACCUAACAUUUUCACAAGAGAGAGUACAAGGUACAAGUUGCCUUUUUCAGAAUAAAACAUCAAAAUAGGGUAGACAAAGGGAAGCACAAGAGGCGUCCUCAAAGACCGAUGUCCCUUGGCUCUUGUGGGCCAAUUCAAAAAAACCCUAGCAGGAUGGAUUUAAAAGCAAGAACAUUCUCCUCAUGGAGGGGGCGGCUAUUGUUCAAAAAGGAAGAGGACGAACCCCUAAGAACACCACAACGAAAUCAAUCAGAUCGAUUCUUGAGAACCCAAGCAAAGUUGUAAAAGCAUUGAGUCCAAAGGAAAAGGAAAAGAAGUGGUCACGCACCUGUUCAUCUGCUCCAAAGUACCCCGAUCCAAUAAAUUUAUUACCCCUUUCUGCGUUUCAUUCCCAGAUUCACGAAUGUGUGCAUAGUUCCUCUCUUCCAUGCUUUGUUUUAUUUCUCUACAAAAUGAUUGUCCUUUUUUUUGUCGUUUGAUGUUGGAGGUUGACUUCGUGGAUUAGGGUUCAAGAUUUGGUAGAUGUCAAUUGCAUUUGUUCCUUUUUUUUCUUAAUGCUGAAGUUUGGUUUGUGUAAGGAGAAAUAGACUUUGAUUUAUUCCGUAAGUGUUUCAAGCUGAGAAGAGAAGGGUUUGAGGCAGAGCGGAACAUUCCAUUUUCAGUUUCGAUUUGUAUCAAAAUGAGUUUUAAGGCCAAAGAUGAACGGUGCCUUUCCCACUGCCCGAGAUUAAUAUUGUUUUGUUUCUCCCUAGGCUUUAAUGACCGUCUUUCUCGGUCACGACGUGUGGUCGUUGGGGUGGGAGAAUCUUGUCUUCACACGUGCCUUCCUGCGGAAGGUGGAGGGUUUUGCUGGAUCCGACCCAUGGUUUCGAAUAACCCGGAUGGAUCUUGCCCAUUUGGCCCUCCUAGGUUGACGAACCGCCCCUGCUCCGUCUAGUUUGUUGCGCCCUGAUGGGCCUUAGGAGCAUUCAGGGCCCACUGUUUUUUUACUGUUUUUGUUGGCAUUUGUUUUGUUUUUAUUAUUUCUCUUUUUAUUUUCUUUCAAGAAAUAAUUUUAUUUAUUUAAAAUGAAGUUUUAUUUAUCAAUUAGGUUUUCUAUCAAUACCUAAAUUUUAGUCAUAUAAUUCACUAUUAUUAUUACUACUAUCAUCAUCCUUAAUUAUCUAGUGUAACUUAGACUUUGAUUUAUUUCCUUCUUGAGAUUUAUGUGAGUUAUCACACUUAGUCUUCUUUUUUCAUUCGUACAAAUUGUCGACUUUUGGUGUGUGUGAUAUGUCACAAUCACGAUAAAUCAUUUCAAUUUCGUGAAGAAAAAAGAAACCCAUUCAAACCAAUUUCAAAAAAAUAAACCACCCAUUUCUCGAUUUAAUAUCGAGUCCAUUUUUCAAAUACCUUUGUAAGUCGACUGCUUGUAAGCAUCGCCAUCAACCUCACAUAUCUUACUCUUGGGUUUCCUUACAAUGAGACCGUUCUCUCGCACUUACACUCAUGCAUUGUUUAUUCGUUGUUUGAGCCCGAGUUAUUUACUUCAAUAUCUUGAGUACCCAUUUGACAAAAUGUACCCCCAUUCCCAUGAUGUGUAAUAAUAUUACUAUUUUAUUUCUUUAUCUGCUUGACUGCUUAGCUAGCUACUAACAUAAGAAUAAAAUCAAUCUUUUCAGAAGGAUCAAGAAAAUAAAGACUCGACCCAACAUCGAGCAUUUUCUCUAUAAACAAAAUUCAUCUGUUUCUACCCAUUCCAUUUUCUUUCAAACCACUUCAUUUCAAAUCUUUCUCAAUCACUCAUCAAAUGCUUGAUCCAAUGUCAAGCCGCUUUCACAAUAAAAACUCAAAAAAAACUUAAUUAAUAUUUAAGACCUUUUCAAUAAAGAUGGAAGUGGAACAUGGUGGAUACCACGCACUUCUAAGACUAGGGUUCGAGAUGGAUGUCUCACCGAUCUUAGCUCUCGCCGUCAUCCAAAUCUAUCUAUUAUGUUUCUUUCAAACCUUCAUUCAAAUUUUUCUUAAUCGUCCAUCAAAUACUUGAUCCAACGUCAAGUCAUUUUCAUAAUAAAACUCAAAAAUACGUAAUUUAUAUCUAAACACUUUUCAAUAAAGAUGGAAAUGGAACGUGGUGGAUACCACGCACUCCUGAGACUAGGAUUCGAGAUGGAUAUCUCGCCUAUCUUAGCUCUCACCAUUAUCCAAAAUUGUCAAUACGGUUUCUUCAAACCCUUUUCUCAAUCAAAUUUAAAAACACUUAAUUCUUAUUAAAUACUUUUGCAAAUAACAUGGAAAUGGAACGUGGUGGAUACCACGCACUCCUAAGACUAGGAUUCGAGAUGGAUAUCUCGUUCAUCCAAGUUCUCGCCAUUACUCCAAACACAUCAAACCAAUCAAUUUCUUUCACCGUGCGAUUGACCCUUAAACCUUUUCUCAAACGAAAGGUACUUUGUUUCAAAACAAUGCAAGGCAAUGUUUCUCCACCUGUUUUGGGUAGUCCAACAAUGUUUUCGUCGAUUGACACAAAGUAGCUUUCGCUAAAAUCGACCAACAAACAAACAUUUUUCAUUUUCGUCGAUUGACACAAAGUAGCUUUCGCUAAAAUCGACCAACAAACAAACAUUUUUCUACCCAGAACUACGUAAGCCUUGAUUUCUCUAUUGAGAUACGUAGGAGCAGGAUUUGUAAAUCUUGUUAGGCCCAUUAAUAAAAAACUUAGGUUUAGUCCUUCGUCGAAAAUCCAAAAACCUUAUUCUCUCAUCCUGUGAUUCUUACAACUAUGGAUGGUGAAGAGUUCACUCAUCCUGUGAACGCUGAUGUAGUCAAGAAAUACUUUGCCUAAAAAAGAAAAGAAUGGCUUGCUAAGUUUAAAUCCCGAAAGGGCGGCUUAGGCAAAAAUAAGCAUCUCGGUGGAUUGAAAACCCGAAAGGGAGAUCCAGGCAAAAGUUAGAGACAUAAAACAGAAAAUUCAUCCUGAUAGAUUGAGUACCCCACCUUGGGGAAAUCUAGGAAAAAUUAGGGUUUAUGGCAAGUAACUGCACCCGACUGGUCCUGAUCUUUGAAGCAGUUUUGAGCAGUCAUUUGGUUCUGAUUUAUCAUUCUCAACCAAAGACAAGCACAGUGGAUUUUGAAGUUGGUAGGGAGAGUAGUGGUCAUUGUACUCAAUGCAGCCCUUUUCCAUGUAAAAUUACCAUUUUCAAACUUUGUAAAGGUCCAUGGAGUCUCGCCAUUUACGGACUACCAUUCUAAAUAAAGUUGAGCUUUUAUCCAAUUAUUUCGUAUUCUUAUUUAUUUCUGUUUUAAUUGAAUUUCUAGGAUGAUAAUCCUGAAAUAAAUAAAUCAAUGGAUAAUCAUUUUUCUUUAAAUAAUAAGGCAUUUACUUUGAGAAUAAUUGAUUUCAGAAAGGAACAUCAACAGCAAUAUAAGGGAUGGAAAGUCUUGAUGUGUAAGGCAUUGUUGGUCUUCCCCGAGCAGUUGGUUUGGUAACUUUUUCCUCCCCAAUAGUUCAUUGUUCAUCCCCACCAUGGUUGAUAAGUUGCUCCUCAAGCAACCUAUCAUCCCUAGUUGAGUUGAUGAUUUGUCCCCUUUGUAAUUCAUCUUUCCCCAACUGAGGCAUUCAUGUUUUUACAUUCCCCAGUUUGUGACUUGAUGAAUGAACCCUGGAUAUCUUGGAAUAUUUAUUUGGUCUCCAGAUUCCCAAUGCAUUUAUUGGUGUGUUGUGUAGCCGUAACAAUUUCUCCUCUUCUUGAGUCUUGAUCCGGUUGAUAUUUUGAUGCCUUGUAAGUUUAUCUUCAACAAUAUCCAAGAAAAAUCUCAUAUUAUUGAAGAAUUUGGUAGUCUUUGAUUUUCUUAUGCAUGAUCGACGCUAUCCCUGGCUAGUAGCGUUCUCGGUUUUCCUCACUCAGAUUUUUAUGACUAGAGACCGCCAGCAGUAUUUCUUUUUUAUGAUAGAAGCUCUCUCUAAUUCCAACAAUGCUUGGUUCUGAGCUCAUUUAAUUGUGUGUCCCCUUAACAGGUUGUCUCCCAGUUUGAUAUGGUGUUAACUUAAAAAUUCUCUGCAGCGUUGACUCAUUAGGAUCCUCAGCAGAUCCUUAUUUAUCCUCAGCAUGUUUGAUACUCUUACCAGCAGUCUCUCUCUUCCCUCGCGCAAAGUUUGCCAUGUUUGGUUGGAUGCAUGCUCUCCAUGUCCUUUCCCAUCCAGAAUUGGAAUUUAUUCCGAGCAAGAUGAUUUAUUUUCAUCCCUAUCAGCUUCUCCGAUGGUUGUUUCCAUCUUGUUGAGAUUAGCCGAGUGUUUAGUAGUGAUGAUUCAAUCUUAGUCAUUUGUAUCCUUUGUGCUGUUUCAGAUAUAAUAUACAUAUACGUAUAUUCUACAUUAAACAUGACAACAGAGUAUUUCACUGUGCAUUUUAUCACAUUGAUUUUUCUUCUGAUCCCCUACUUUGGAGAUAUUAUUCCCCAUGCAGAAUUGGUGUGUCUGUCCUCCUUCGAUUGUAGAUGAGUCGUCGAAUCCUUAAGUAGAAAAAGUUUCUCCUUUCUCAUUCCCCACUGAGUUAUUUGCUCAUAGAACGGAUUCUAUAUAUUAGUUCUGCUCCUCAAUUCUAUACUGGAUGACGACUCACCGCGCGACUAGUCCACUAUAACAGCCCACAAGAUAUGUAGCACGCUCUCAGUAGUCUCCCGUACUCUCAUACUUCCUAGGUCGAUAGUCAGCGCCUGAAAUGAUCUUUGUCCCCUGAGAUGAGUGUAUUACAGUAACUUGUAGUAUUCUGUUCUUGUUGUUGAGUACUCUUACCUGCUGCGGGGCGGGGUGAUCGCCAAUAAACUUGGGCUAAAGGUAAUUUACUUCUGUGUUGUUUCUCAGGAAAUUCUUCUCACGAUUUACACGCAAGCACAUGUCGGGUAUCCUUGGAUAUGUUCAUCCUCAUACCGAUGACAGUUCUUCUUUCUGAUGGGUACUUCGUUUUGCUAUCCAUAGUUGUAAGAAGGAGUGAGUCGUAAUGACCUUAUUUUUCCCGAAGGUCUAUUUCUUGUAGUGUGUCAUGAUUCAUAACCCGGGCAGUACGUAUUCGCUGCAUUCCGUGGUCUGUGCUCGUCAGUAAUUGGUGUAAGUAUAUAGGAAAAAUGCCUAAUCUCGCCCCUUAGCUGUAGUGUUACCCUUGAUAUAAUGUUCACUUUAACCAGUGACGGAUACUCUCUCUUUGGUAUUCUACCCAGUAACCGAUAGAUGUAAUUCCUAUUUUUCCCCGGUAGUUUAUCCUUGAUAUGUUUACCCCAAUCGGUAACAUAUAUUCUUCCUCAUUCCCCUGGUAGUCUAUCCUUGAUAUGUUCAUCUUAACCGAUGAUGGAUAUUCUUCCUUUUAGUUUAUCCUUAAUAUGUUCACUUUAAUUAGUGACGGAUACUCUCUCUUUGGUCUUCUGCCCAGUAGCAGGUAGUUGUAAAUCCUAUUUGAUUUCUUUCUCCCGGUAGGUCAUUCUUACCCAGUAACCGAUAAUGAAUAUGCCUUAUUAUCCUCAGCGAGUCAUCCUUGAUAUGUUUGCCCUAACUGGUAACGAAUGUCCCUCUGUCCAAGUAUAUUAUCUUCUUACCCAAUAACCGGUAAUAGAUAAUAUAUCUCCUUUUACUCCUGUGUUGAAGCUUUUUCUUCCCCAGUUGAGUUUGGUUUUGUAUUUCUUCGUGAAAUCGAAUCCCCUUUUGCGUAAGUGUUUCAGCUUUGUUCUGAUCUUCACAUUUCCCCAGUGGGUGUUUCUUGUUGUAUUGGUGUUAUACCAAUAUAUGCACAUUUCUUUUUCCCUAACCGAGUCUUUUUCACUGAUUUAUUUUCAUGGAAAUUCUCUCAUGUCUCCCAGUAGUUUUCAAGUCGUAGCUUGGCCUACGUAUAGCUUUUAUCCCCAGAGUCUUUGUCUCCUCAGUAAGCUUUCCUUAUGGAAUGCAUUAUGCUCCUUUGAACUCUCAGUCUCUCCUAAUUCUUUUUCUUUGUGGCAAUAUAUUCCUCACAAUGAUUAUUUUUUCACGAGGUCUCUUAGGGACCAAAAUUUGUUCCUUGAUGUUGUUAUUUAAGUUCAUUCUUGAUACUAAGAUUUUAACCUUCACAUCCUUAGUCAUAAUGUCCUUAAAUAGGGGCAGCUGUAAGACCCAAAUUUUGACCCUAAGAUCCCUUAUGUUAUCUCAUCGUUUGCAUUGGCUUUAAGAUCACACCUUGGUAUCCUCCUCACCAAUCAUUCAUUGGGUUUGCAUUGGGAGAGAUCACCAAGCACGUUUGAUUUUAUCAUAAUUUAUUUUUCUUUGUUUACUAAAAAUACCAAAAAAAAUAUGUCUUGUGUAGUGUUGUUUCUUUUGUAGGUUGUGUGUGUCCAUUUGUGCCUCAUCAAGCUCACAACUAGGAUUUGAGACCCUCAUGGAAAGAGAUAAAUCAAGUAAAGAUUCAUAAUGGUUCUAAACAUCAUAUAUGGAUCCCCAUGUUCUUUCUUUAUCAUUUUGAUCAAGAAUUCAUCAAGAGUUUGAAGUUUGUUUGCCUUGGAAGCCCUGAUUCAUCUGGGUAUCUUAUGUGACUUCCUCGGCAAGCUUCUUCACCAAUUGAUUCAAAGAUAUCAAGGGGAUAAUUCAUUAUACAUCAUCUCAAGCAUAUAUUAUCCCCCGUGAACCCCAAAUAUCAAAAGGAAAACUUUAAAGUUGCAAGUUGGAUAGCAAAGAAGUUGACCAGGGAAGUUCACUCUCAAAUCUAGGGUUCCCUAGACCCAUUCCUACGCUUUGUUGGUCAUAAUGAAAAUUAUUCCGAAGAGAAAAUAUUUACUCUUUUAUGACAUUCUAAACAACUUUCGUGCUGACAUCAAGAUAUAAUUUUUCUUGGAAAGUCAUUUUUUAUGGUGAAAGAUUAUAGGUCAUUUUGUUUGUGCCCUAGUUAGGAGGUCAAUUUCCAAGGAUCAUAGCUUGCUCAAUUUUUAUUAUAUGAAGGCCAUCCAAGUUUCAUGAUAAAUUUAAAUAUGUCUUAUCCAACACUUAUUCUUUGAUAAAUGUUGAAUUCAUCUUGCAAGGGUAUGUUCCAAGAGGAAACAUUAUAGGUUAUUUUGGGCCAUUACCAUUGAACAAGCAAUUUUCCUCAACUUCUAAAAUACGUAACUCCCUCGUGACAAAUCCAAAUGAUGUGAAAUUUGUGACCCAAUUUAAGAGGAAUGUAAGAGAUACAACUUUGGUGAAGAUACCAUUUUCAGUUGAAGCUCAUAGCAAAAUUUAUUCAAGGUGGAAGAAGUGGGCAUUUGACUUUGUACUUAGAAAAUUUUCAACCAUGUUUGAUUUCUGCAACUUCCAACUUAAAAUUCAUCAUGAUCCAAGAUACAAAUGUAAAAGUGUUCAACAUCAAAGUUAUUCCCCUUCAUGUCACCUUUCCAAAUCAUCCAAGAUCACUUCAUUUGGACAAGAAUUGAGAGACUUGCACAUGAUUCCUUUGAUUAGUUUAUUUUGGCAACUAUUGCACUCAAGUGAUUAAUUCCUUUUGCAUGCUUCCAUGUAAUGACUUCAGCAUCAAUUGCACACGAAUUGGAAGUGGAUUGCAUCAUUGGUUUGGCCCUAAUUCCAACGCCCAAUUGCACCAUGCAUAACAUUGUUAAUUUUUUUUGUCACAUUUUUCAAAUGGUUGCAAAACUUGAAUUCCAUAGCCCUAAUCAAUACAAGUGCAUUGCUUCAGAAAUGAUUACACAACCCAUUUCCCAAGCCUGUGCCACGCCAACUCAGAACCCUCAACUCUAUAGAAUUUCCUUGAAGAUUUUUUUGAAAUCGAGUUUUGAAUUCUCCCUUAUGUUUGGGAUUUAAACUCAAGGAUCCUCAGCCAUUUUCAUCUCAAUUUUGAUCACUCAAGCAAUGAGGAGGAAGAAUCCAAUUGGGGAAUGAAUCAAGAUCCAGCCAAAUCACUGCCUACCCGAAAGGGAUUUUUCCAAAAACUUCAAGCCUUCGAUUCCUCUCAACUCUCCCACCAUUCUCUUUGUUUAUUGGGGUUGUUUCCCCCCCCUGUAGUCCCCCUAAAACAAAAAUGUAGGCCAGAAGAUUGAGUUGCUUUGAGGUCAAAUCAAAGGAAAUCAGAUCGUGGUACCUCAAAAUUCAAUUCCUCAUAUUCUCUCAAUAUAUUUCGAAUUAGAUUAAAAUUGUGGCCAGAUUCAAGCUCCUGAGCUUUUUCUCUUACCAAAUAAGUGUCCUUACAUUUCAUUUUCUUGAUGGUUGAUGGGUCGACCAGUCCGGUGAGGUCCACCGGAGAAGACAACCGGAGCUGGGCUCCGGUGAUGUGUUGUCAUCGCUCUUGGCCGUAUGAUCUGUUUGAACCUGUUUUAAUCUUAGCCAUUUUUUUAUUACCAUCCAUGUGACGCGUUGCCUGAAGUCAAUCGGUGGAAGACGCGCGCUUGGCCCAUAGAUCUGCCACCUCAAUUAAUGAGCGGAAGAUCUCAUUGGCCCUCGUUUUUUCUAAUUUCUUUUUUAAUUUCUGAUUUUCUCAAUUUAAUCAUUUUUUUGUUAAAUUCAAUAUCAAUUUCAUUUUUAAUCCAAAAAUAUGGGACUUUCACCAAAAAUAAUUUAAAUUAUUUUCCUCUUUGGUAUUUUGAAUUAAAAUCAUUUUUGGAUUAAUUUUGAAUAUUUUCAUAGAUUAAUGAUUUUUGACCUUGUUUUUUAAUAUUUUUAAAUAUUUUUAAAUACUUCUGACUUUUCCAAAAUUAUGAAAUUUUUUGUCUAAGGUCCUUUGACCUUGUUUAACCUAGGAUAAUCCUUUGCCAUUAUUUCGUGUUUUUGAAAAGAUUUGAGGUUUUAUCCAUUUUUUAAAAUGCAUUUUUAAUUAUUUUAAUUUGUAUUUUUAAUUGAUUAAUUGUUUUAAAAUAAUGUUGAGCGCAUUUUUUAUGGUCUUGUUGAAUGUUUUGACAUUCUGUUUUGGCCUUGAGUCAUGGUUUGAUUUGACUUGUUGAUUGAUUCAAUACCAUUGGAAUUUAGGGAAUUUGUGAAAAUGUUCGUUUCAUCUCCCAAAAUGAAAUGGAUAGUAUUAGUUAGGAUGAAAUCCUCUAGAUCAAUUUUGGAUUUCUACUUUACAUUCCCUCUUUCAUCUCCAUCCCUAAUUCUUUACCCCAUUCAUCAAAUUGACGCAAUGAUUUCCUCUAAGUCUAAAUCUAGGUUGAUUUCAUCAAUGAUCUUGUGUUCAGAUAAUCAAACAUUGAGUCUGACUGAGAUUAGCGUCUUCCCACUUUUUUUAGUGUGUGGUCAUGUUUUAGGAGUUUGGUUCUUUGUACCAAUUCUCUAACAUGCAUUAACACCUAUAUUUUUAUUGCCCGACCUCAGAUAGUUGUGACUUCUACAUAAGUCCAAUUAUGAUUGCUUAACAUAGAGUUAAAUUCCGUAAGGCAUAGCAUUCUAGUAAGUGAGAUUGUAAGUCUCCCAUUCUUCAUGGUAUUGUGUGGAAACUUGACCUUUUUUCCAUUCAUGAGAGCUAGUGGAAUACUUGUUGAUUUAUCCAAGUUGGAGCCUUUCUCAUGGAUGAUGUCUUGGUUCAUGGAUUCAUAGUUGUGAAUGAAUGGUUGAGUGUUCUCAAAAGAAUGACUUAAUCAAUUAAAACUCAUCACUAACAUUUUAUUAACAUUUGACUAACCUUUUGUUAAUGUUGCUUUAAUUUCAAGUCAUUUACUUUAAGCACUUUAAAUUUCAAGUAUCUUUAUCAUUCAUUGUCAUUUACAUUUCAUACAACUUGUUUAUGUUUCAAGUCCUUUUAACUUUGCUCAUUUGAUCCAUAUCUUGUGAUUGUAUAUAUUGUUUUUGUUUUUGUUUUGUUUAUGGUCUUAGGACCUUAAAACACCUAAUAACAACAAAAUCUCUAAAAAUUAUCUUGGUGGACUGUUGGUUUUGAUAUGAACUUUUGGACUUAGAAUUAGGCAACAUUCCAUGUGCUAAAGGACUUGGCCAAUGCCACUAUUUUAGACUGAGAUAUCUUUGACAGUGCCUUUCAUCUGAUGCAAGACCUUGAGUAUCUUUGAUUCAUCUGUCACUUUGUCUUUUAUGCUUAAUUGCUUAUGUCUGAUGAUUACUUCUGAGUUAACCAAGGAGUAUUUUCAUCUGAUGCAUUGGAAGAAGUUGAAGACUGCUAGCUCUUGGAUUGCUUGCUUGAAUAUUAUGGCUAUCUUUAUUUGAUGCCUUAAUCUUCACAUGGUUUGAUUGGAUAUUUCUUAUGCUUGUUGCUUUCUAAAGUUCAAAGGAAAAUGGGUUUCUAUAUGACAUUCUUGUCUAUUGGAUUGCAUCACAUUGGUCAGAUCUUUUCAACUCUUAACUUUUAAUUUUUUGUGUGCCUUUUCAUUUUAAAUUUUGUUAAAAGAAAUUCACCAACUUCUUUGAAAUUUUUACUAUGAACUACGGGGUUUUGAUCCCUCCUUUUUAUAUUGGUACGUAGGCAUAAGACCGAAGGUCUUGUCAAACACAAAAAUAUAAUUAAUGAAUUCUUUUUCUCAUCCCCCCACUCUAUAUUUUAUCAAACAUCAUUUAGACCAAAUCACUUGCACACAAAAAGGGCUCCCUAGGAGUACCUAUGACACUUUAGGUGCUAAUACCUUCCCUCUGUGUAACCAACCCUCUUACCUGUAAUCUAUAACAUUUUAUUAGUUUUGAUUUGAAAACUUCUAAUCUUUGGGUUUUGUUCAUACUUUUGUCCUUUUCCUUUGGAAACAAUAAAAGCACGUUGGCGACUCUGGUUUUAUUGACAUUAAGCUUAUCCAUAGUUUGAUGGUCAUGAAUUUACCCCUAUAAUAACCACUAUGUUUCUAGGUACAAAGUUUGUGAGGAUAAAGUCAUUGUUUGUGACAUAUUCUGGACUCAUCCUGAAAGUAUCAAAUUAUUGAACACAUUUCCCAUUGUCCUUAUAAUCGAUUCACUUCCGAAACUGAAAAUCAUCUUAAUCAAAGAAAUUCUACUUUUUAUGCACAAACACAUUGAAUGGACUGUAAAUGUUAAGGAUGAUUGUGAUUGCGGUUAUCGGGCCGUAUCCAUAUUUCUCGGUAAGAGGAGAGGAGAAUCACUCUCUUUUCCGCCAACAACUUUUGAAAGUGUUGACGACGCAUAUGGAAUUAUACACAUCACUAUACGGGAAAAAAGAACAUUUUGAUGCAACUCACGAUGCUCUUACUCAUUAUGUUAGCGGUCCCGCACCGUUUUCAGAAUGGAUGUGCUUCCCUAAAAUGGGCCAUCUUAUAGCAAGUGUGUAUAACAGGGUGUGUACUGGUCUAACAAGAUAUGGUUUCUCAGAGACAUUUUUCCCACUUUGGAGUGACCCACCUAAAGAUCCUUCCUGAGACAUCAUGUGCAUUUGAUGGAUUUCAAAAUCACUAUAUUUUGUUGAGGUUUAUUUGAAAUCGGGGUGACCUUUACCAAGAAAAUCAUUGGAGUGGAUGACACAUUCUACAAAAAAGGCGAAAACUUGGUCGGAUAAAUUUCUGGAAAGAAUGAAAGAGUUCACUAAAUUGAGCGAGCUUGAAACAGAAUCAAAUAAGAAAAAUUCGAAGGAGAAAGCAGUAGUAGAUUUAUGCGGUGAUGAAUCUUUUGAGACAUUUUAGAUUGUAAUCGAUACACUUUUUUGAACGCAUUGUCGUAAAUAAUGAAAUCUUGAUACGAUUUAAUAUAUAAGUAAUAUAUAUUCAACAAUGAUGGUGUUAAUGUCGACUGUUUCAGUUUAUAAAUUUUAUGGUUUGCAUUUUUGGUUUUUGUAUACAUAGAUUCUAGUUUGAUUCUAGUUCAGGGUAAUUUCGGAUAUGCAUAACCGAAUAAACCUCAUACUUAUUAAAAAACCAUGAGGGAAAUUUUCAGAUAUGCAUAUCCGUAAACACCCUUUUUCGUACAAAAAUCAGGGUUUAACUGGAGAUGCAUCUCCGAAAAGUGACUUGAUGACAUGAUAAAGUUUCUAAGGUCCAAAGUGACCCAAUACUUGUAUAAUAGGGUGUCUCUUAACUCAUGUUUGCUACAAAACCCACAACAACCAGAGAAUGAAUUCAUAUCCCCACCUUUCAUUUAUGUGUUUCAACGACAGAAAGUCGUCGUUUCAAUUUAUGGUCACCUAUGACACACCUCUCGCCGAUCUGGUAUCCAAACUGAAUACUUUCUUGCGAUAUCCAUAAAAUCAGAGAGUUAUCAAGCUAGAGUAUCAUUCACCAUCGCUUGACAGCGAAGGGAAGAUACAGAUCACUAACUUUAAACUGAAAUAGGAUGAAUAUUUACAGGUCGUGUGGAGUAUAUUUUACCGUUAUGCAUCAAAGGGUCCGAUUUAAGUGGAUGUGAAGAUUGAAAAGUCCGUCGACGAUAUUAUCAAUAUGUUGCAAUGUCAUGAACUACCUGUUUAUAAUGAUAUGUAAUAUUAAAUUCAUGUUAACAACUAACUAUGUAAUGUUGAGUGUUUUAAUUUAAUGUCAAGUUGAUUUUGUUUUGAGAUAUCGCUCAUACUAUCUUUGUUUCUAGUUUGAAGUAUCUGGGUUACUUUCAGAUGUGCAUUUCCAAAAUAUAUUAAGAAAACAUUUGGAGAUGCAACUCCGAACAAAAUAUCAGGUAUAAUUGGGGUGUACCACUCGUUGGAAUUCAAUUUUGUAGGAAAUGGGUGCGUCAGGAGAUGCAUCUCCGAAAGUAUGGGGCAUUUUUUACUUUUCGCCAAUGGUUUGGGAGAACCUAUAAGGGUGAGAAAAGAAAUUGUCAAAUUAAAAACAAUAUAGAUCAACUAGUUUAACUGGGAAUCGGACGUGUAUUUGGUCCCUUUCAUAGCAAUAAUUGGCCUACAUCAAAACCGAGGAAGGAGAAUCAAGAAGCCAGAAAAAAAAAUCAAGGUAAACAAGUAAAAUUGGCUUCCAUAGUGGUUUCCGAAUUUAAUCGAAUUUUACUUUUAAUUUAUUUUGGCGCAACUUGUUUCCUAUUUGUAUGUUGUUUGUAUAUAAUCUCCAUUAUAAUUAAUUAAAUUAUUUCUUAACUAAAAAAAUCCUCAAAUAGUUGUGCAAAACCUAAUAUCAAUUGUUUAUUUGUAUACCACGUGAUAAUAAAUAUUUUUAAAACUUUGAUGUAGGACUUAUAUUGAUCUUUUGUAUAUGCUAUAUGUACAUAUAUAACACUCAAUGCUCUAGAAAAUACUCAUUUCGCCAUGUUUGAUAUGAUGUCAUGUUGUGCUUUUUGGGUUAUUUAUAAAACUUAAUGCUCUAGAAAAUACUCAUUAAAACCAUGAUGUUAAUGUCGAUGGAAGUUAAAUAAAUUAAAAUUACUCUAUCUAUGAUUCUGAUUUUCUCUCAUACUCUUCCCCAAAGCCUAUCUACAGUAAUUGUGAUGUUAAAAAAAAUAUUGUAUUUCAUCGGUCUCAUAUGUUUUUCUCUUAUUGUUCGAUGUAGCGGUAAAAAAAUUGAGAUUAAGUUAUUGAUUAUCUUAACUCGCAAAGCAAGAGUAGUCACCGUGCUUUCAUUGUUUCCAAAAGGAAAAAGGAAAAAGUACGAACAAAAAUCGAAGAAGUUUUUAAGAUAAAACUAAUAAAAAGAGAACAAGGAUUCGGGGGUGAGUUAUGUAAAGGGAAGGUAUUAGCAUCAUAAACAUCCAUGGUACUCCAUGGGAACCUCUUUGAAAAUAUGUACAUUAUGGUUUAAAAAAGGUGUUGUUUGUUAAAAGAUUUGAGAGAUGGGAAAAGAAGUAUAUUUUCUUUAUUUUUUUGUGUUUGCCAAGACUUUUGAAGUCUCAUGCCUACGUACCAACAAAGUGCAAUGGCGGAUCAAAACCUCGUAGUUCAUGGUAAAAAUAACAAAAGGAGUUUGUUUUGAUUCAUUUUUAUGGGAAAGAUAUUAUAUCAUUUUAAGAAGAAUACUCAACUAGUCACCCACAAAUAUGAGAACUUUGCAUCAUCAGGAGAAGGGCUCCAACUUGGAUAAGGAUCAACAAGUAUGUCACUAACUCUCACAAACGGAAAAGAAUUAUCAUAAAUGCUAUGGGGAUAGGAGAAUUAUAUCUCAAUUAUGAAAAUUACUCAUGUCUAAUACCUUGAGAAAAGUUUUAAAAGGAAAAAUGCACAAGGGCAUAAAAUCAAUUUGAAUGAGUUAUGCACUUUUUAAGUCUUUUGAAAUUGGUCUGAGUAUGCUUAAGAUGAAUUAGCAUUUAUUAGGAAAAGGUUUUUAAAAACACUUGACAAAAGUCAAGGUUUAUUGAGAAAGAGGCUCAAGUUAGAAAGCAAGGAGGUUUUGAAAAAGAGAGAAAAUUUUGAAAAUUAAAGAAAGGGAGGAGAAGAAGAGAUUAUCCUAAAGCAUAAAGUAAAAGCUAAGGAGGAAAGAUCUAACCAAGAGAUAACAAGCUUUAUGACAUAGGUCAAACAAUAAUUCCCUCAUUCGGAUAAAGCCUUAAACAAGCCCAAAAUAAGCCAAUAAUAAUCCAUGUAUCAGAUGAAACAAAAUAACCAAGCCAAGUCUUCACAAAUAAGUCCAAAGUCAAAGGCAUCAUAUGAAUUCCAAGGUCUCAAAUCACAAGUCCCAAAGCAAAGGUAUAGAUCCUAAUUCUAAGUCCAUAUCUCCACAAUUAUGCCAAGGAUAGUUGAUCGGAAAAAUAGCAAGUAGUAAUAAAGGGGAAAUUCCCCGAGUGUCGAUCUCAAGGACUGCAAGUCAAUAUCGAGUUCAACUUAUCGUUCAAUUAAACAAAAAUUAUAGUUGGGGGUUUUUAGAUUCAAAUAUAAAAAUAAAGGUAAAAGAAAAUAAUACUGUAAAAAUAAGGGUUUGCAAGGUAUGAGGAACAAUGCCAGGGAAGGUGUAUGAUUUACUCUUGUAACAACUCUGAGUCACUAUUACAUCAAUAAAUAUCAAAUACUAUCGGUUCUCAAGGGUAUUUUCUCCCAAGUCCUUGGUGAGAAAACCUUUAAUCAUUCUACCCUAAUUUCUAUGUCCAUGGACAAUUAGGGUGAAGUUAAGCUUUAGUAUAUCAAAAAUUCUUUGAUUCAAAAAGGGUAUCCCUAGUCCUAGGUGAUAUGUACUGCAGAGUAAUCUAAUGAAAACCUUAUCAAUGGCGGUUCAGCCUUAUUGAUAAUCAUACAACAAUCUCGAUUAGUCUGAAAGAGAAAGCAUUAAACACAUCAAAAGAUUAUCGUAAAAAUAAUAUUAUAAAUGUAAUCAUAAACUCAUAGUCAUUACAACUCUAAAUCAGGGACACCCCCUAGCAUUGGGGGGGUUUAGCUACUCAUAUUGUUCAAGACAAAUUCAAGAUGAAAAAUACACAUCACAAGUAAUUGGAUAACUUGGAUCUUCAAUCACUUUCGCUCAUGAAAACCUUCUGCUCUCUGAAUUCCUUGAUCUCGGUAAUCCUUGAUCGUCUGACAAUUCUAUGUUCGCCUCGUUCCAAGAUGAUAUUUUAUCAUGUAGAAGCUCUCCUAAUAUAGUGAAAAUCCUUGGCAGAAGGUGAAAAUCUCCAUAACGUCCUUGUAGCUCAAGCCCGGUGAAAAAGUCUAAAAACUGGAAAAUUAGCAUUUUUGGCUGACAUGGUCGUGUCAGCUCUCUGAAGUGAAAAUCCUUGGCAGAAGGUGAAAAUCUCCAUAACGUCCUUGUAGCUCAAGCCCGGUGAAAAAGUCUAAAAACUGGAAAAUUAGCAUUUUUGGCUGACAUGGUCGUGUCAGCUCUCUGCCUGGUUGUUUCCUUGCUGACACGCCUCAGGUGACCUGACACGGGCCAUGUUAGCUGACACGUGCAGUCGUGUCAGGCCACUAUUUUGGGCAUUACUUGUUCUUAUUUUUCCUUCCUCCUGACACGACCCGUGUCAGGUGAAACGGGUAGCCAUGUUAGGCCUCCUGAACUGGGAAAUCCUCUUUUUUCAAAUGCCAGAACUUUCCACUUUCUCGCAUUGAGUCUGUUGGAUCUUCUCCGUGGACCUGGAGGGCAUAAACACGACAACCAAAGCGUAAAAUCACGAAAACACAAAAUAAAACUGACAAUUAAUAAAAAUUCUUAAAUAACUAACGGGGAUGAAAAUUAACUUUAAAGUUACCAUAAUGCGUACACAGUGUCUUAAAAUCCUUGGUUUCUUGUCGGAUAAGCAACGAAAACAUAGUGAAAAUGGUGACCGAUCACAACCCCAAACUUAGCUCAUUGCUUGUCCUCAAGUAAUGUCAUAUCCGACAAAGUGUGUCACUUCCCAAACUUUGCAUUCUUACCAAAAUACUGUUGAGAUCUUUCGCCAAGGCCUUCACUCUCCCGUUCAUAGUCCCUUCUUUUCCUAAUGAGUUUUCCGCCGCAUUUCCAUAUCGAGGUACCGCUUCACCUGUCAUCUUAUAUCACACUCUCACCAAGUCUCUCGGGGUUAAAGUGUUUUCACUCACAAUUCAGAAUAUGCAAUAUCAACUCAUAAGUUUGAAUAGUUUCAGGAAAGUAUAGUUGAUGUGUGUUGUGUGUGAUUUUGAGGUCUUUCGGGUUGUAACGGGGCUUGGGUUAUGGUGUGGUAAAUACAAACAAAAAGGAAAACAAGUGGUUUUGGGUUCAGAGCCAAUGUCAAUAUUCUUUUCACUGUGUUUGUUCAUUUUCCUUCUUUUCUUUUUUCAAUCGCUCGGUUUUUUUUCUUUGAUAUUCUUUUUUUUCUUUUCAACCGAGUGCUCUUCCUUUGGUGAGUGCUUAUUUCGAACCAUCGAGUACAUUUAGUUUUCUCUUUUUUCGAUGAUCGUUUUUUCUUAUUCUAUUUUUUCUCGCACUCACCUUAGUUUUCGAUACUUAUGGGGUUUACCCCCAAACUUAGAAUUUUAACACAGCUUAAUAAUAUCACCUUGACUCCGAACAGGGUAAGGAAGUGUUUUGGUCGCGGGUUACAUUUACAUGGUUAAACAAACAAUGGGUACAAGCUCAAAUGGGGUUAACAAAGGAUAAAAUUACUAGGAUGACUAGAAAGGCUCAAGGGUUAUAUUCAAACAACGUGCCUUAGCGUGUGUAUAUAUGUAUUGACAAUCCCAGAGAACCUACGCAAAUUCAGAGUGAUAAAGACAUACUUGAAUAUCGCUCAUGAUGAUCAAUGUGUUUGGCUCUUUAUGCACUCACCAUGUUAGGUAAAGCUUGACAACAUCCAUAGUAUCUCUAGUAUGGUGUGACUUCUUACUCGAUUCGGAAUGCACAUGGAGCCUACGUUAGGCGAGCUUGAGAACUUACGUCCGAUCUUUUCUUCAGCAAUAUCAACUUUUUGGGAAGAUACUUCAUAAUAAACAACCUAAAUGAGUGAUCCUUUCAUCCACUACCACUAAUGGUCAUCACCUAAUCCAACAGUAUACCAAGAACCUGAAAUACAUGCAGCACAUGAUUCCCGAUAGUCAAAAUAAACCAAAUGUGAAACGGUAAAAAUUGGGAAAUAAUCAACAAAAAUAAAAGCAAAAAGCAUAGUAAAACCUCCCCCACACAUGAACUAAACAUUGGCCUCAAUAUUUUAGAACAAGAUAGAAAGAGGGUGACGCACAGUGCCCUACUGAGGGGGCUGAGGCGGGAAGUGUGACAUGCCCACACGAAAUUCAAAUUUUGCAAAAAAAAAUCAAAUCCGCAGGCCUGGCACGGGUCGUGUCAAGUUGAUAUUCUGCUUAUUUUUCCAACUUUUUCCAUGUGAGUACAUUCGCCCUUUUAUGCAAGGCACUGUGUAAACCUAAAAUAACAAACAAACACAACCAAUAAUUAGAAAUAAAAACGCGUGGGUUUCCUCCCACGAAGCGCUUCGUUUAACGUCGCAUGGCUCAACUGUUCAUUUUCCCUUGUUAUGGGGGGUACUUCAGCCUCCAAACCUUGUUGCACCUCUUGUCCAAAACUAGGAAGCUGUCUUUUUCAUAAGUAUGGAUUCCUUUGUGCCAUAAGUCCUUUCUAACCUCCAUCUCCUUACCUUGUUUUCAUUUUCUUUUCUUUCUCUUGGCUUUUGAAAUGGAGAUAGGAGUCUUUCCAUUCAGGGUUGCUAAUGGAAAUGGCGAGAGUCGAGAGGGCCUUCCUGUAUCUUUCUCUAAUAUUGGUAUGUUACUUUUCCUUCUCGUCUAUGUCUUGAUCAAGCCUACUUGAUAGUGAGAUUCUGUAUCUUCCUCUAGCUCCUGGUCUUCAAUAGAAUUCAAUGUUAUUUCUUUGUCGUGAACUUUCAAGGUUAACAUGCCCUGGUCCAUGUCGAGAUUGCAUCGACUUGUCUGCAUGAAAGGUCGACCCAGAAUGAUGGGUGCCUCAUCAUCUUCAGGCAUGUCUAGGAUUACAAAAUCAACAGGAAAACUCAAGUCCUUCAUUGUUACCAGUAUGUCUUCUUCUAUACCAUAUGCAUCCUUUCUCGAGUGAUCCAUAAACUUCAGAUUUGUCUUUGUAUCACUGGCAUUUUUAAUACCCAACCUGUGAUAGAUUGAUAAUGGUAUCAAACUCACACUAGCUCUGGAAUCUAUUAGUACCCUUUUGAAGGUUCUUCCUUUAAUUGUGCAUGGUAUUGUUACCUUUCCAGGAUCCUUAUGUUUGUUUGGAAUUUUCUGCUCUAGUGAAUUUGCAUUAUAAUUUUCCUUCCAGGCUACUGGUUCUUCUGUUGUUGGUUUCUUUUCGUCCAUUACCUCUUCCAUGAAUUUCUUGUACAUGGGCAUUCUCUCGAGUGCUUCAAACAAAGACAUAUGACCCUCUACCUUUUUAAACAUUGUCAUGAAUUUCUCAAAGUCUGACUCGCUUGGUUACUUCUUUGUCACUCUCUAAAGGUAGGGCAACUUAAUCACCGAUUUAGUCUCCUUUUUAAUUUUCUCUUCAGUUGGCUUGCCAGGUGGUAUAACUUUUUCCUUUUUAGCGGCCUUUUCUUUUUUCAUCGUGACAGUACUAAUAUUCUCCUGAUUUCUUGGAUUUUGAAUUGUUUCACCUGGUGUUCGAGAACUUGCUAGUUGUUGUGUUAUCUGACCUAGUUGAACUUCAAGAUUCUUUAGAGAGACGGUGGUGUUUUUAUGAUUGUUUCUAGUCUUUUCUUCGAAUUUCCUAUUUUGAGCGGCCAUGUUUUCAAUGGCAAUCUCCCAGUCUGCUUUCUUUGGAGCUUGUUGUUGUUGAUAUUGAGUCAGAUAUUUACCUUGACCCUGUUGCGGAACAUUCCCUCCCUGAUCCUUCCAGGAGAAGUUAGGAUGAUUCUUCCAACCUGGAUUGUACGUGUUGGAGUAGGGAUUAUUCUGCUUCAAGAAUUUGAUCUCUUCGAUUAGUUGAGGAGUUAAAAAGCAAUACACAAUGUGGUGAGGCUCAUUAUAGAUUUCACAUGUGAUGGUCUGAGCAGGUUGAAUUUGAGCUACAUGUUGAGUACCUAUAUUCAUUGCUUUCAACUUCUUUUCUACUUCAGCAACGACUGUAUCUUCCAAACGGAUUUUAUUAGCUUCCAGUUUCAGACCAAUGACUCCUUCAGGUUUGCUUGUACACCUAUCAUAUAAUUCCAGAUGCUCAUUUGCGGCUAUCGCUUCAAUGGUCCUUUUAAUACUGGUGGUUGUUGAGAAAUUUGUUGAGCCACCAGUUGCUAUAUUAAUCAACUGUUUUGUCUUUAUUUUCAGACCAUUGACAAACAUCUGCAUUUGUUCAGUCUGAUCCAUAUUAUGAGUUAGGCAAGCUACCAGGACCCUUUUGAAUCUUUUGUAGGUAUCUCCUAAAGACUCACCAUCCUUAUGUUUGAAAUUUAAGAUUUCAUACCUUUUUUUGAGAAAUACUGAUGUUGGAAAAUACUCAUUUAAGAAAGUUGUUUCCAUUUCUUCCCAUGAUGUAAUAUUGCCUGCUGGCAGAGAGUAGAACCAUUAUUCCUUCUCUUCAGUUAAAGUGAACGGGAACAUUCUUAACUUCUUUGCUUCAUUAGUAUGACCAUCAAUUUUCAAGGUAGUACUCAUGGUCAGGAAUCUCUUCAGGUGCUUGUUUGCAUCUUCAUUAACCUUUCCGAUGAAAGAUUUUCUUUUAAGUUGAUUGAUUGUGCUAGGAUGCAGUUGAAAGUUAGUCAUAUUCACUGGUUGGUUGACAAUGGUCAACCUACCACCUGGCGCAUUUGCACCUCCAUAAUCACCUAGGAGUCUUUUUAGAGGUGGAGGAGGUGGAACUCGAGGAAUUUCAGCCAUAGUUUCUUUUUCUGAAUCUGAGUGAUUAGAGGAAACUUCUUCUUUGGAAUUCAAUCUAGCGUUUUUACGUCUCUGGUGAAGGGUUCUCUCAAUUUUUGCGUCAAAAAGAAAUUUUGUUGAGGGCUCUCCUCGCAUACACAGAUUAGUGAAUGAAAUUAUAUAAAUGACAAAAGAAUAAUUUUAUUACAAAGUAACAAAAUUUUAAUUGAACUUAAAAUUAAACUCUAUAUUUUGGCAGUCCCCGACAACGGCGCCAAAAACUUGAUCGGAAAAAUAGCAAGUGUACUAUUUUUCCUGUUAUAGUAAUAAAGGGGAAAUUCCCCGAAUGUCGAUCUCAAGGACUGCAAGUCAGUAUCGAGUUCAACUUAUCCUUCAAUUAAACAAAAACUAUAGUUGGGGGUUUUUAGAUUCAGAUAUAAAAAUAAAGGCAAAAGAAAAUAAUACUGUAAAAAUAAGGGUUUGCAAGGUAUGAGGAACAAUGCCAAGGAAGGUGUAUGAUUUAUCCCUGUAACAACUCUGAGUCACUAUUGCAUCAAGAAAUAUCGAUUACUACCAGUUCUCAAGGGUAUUUUCUCCCAAGUCCUUGGUGAUAAAACCUUUAAUCAUUCUACCCUAAUUUCUAUGUCCAUGGGAAAUUAGGGUGAAGUUAAGCUUUAGUAUAUCAAGAAUGCUCUGAUUCAUAUAGGGUAUCCCUAGUCCUAGGUGAUAUCUACUGCAGAGUAAUCUAAUGGAAACCUUAUCAAUGGCGGUCCAGCCUUAUUGAUAACCAUACAACAAUCUUGAUUGGUCCGAAAGAGAAAGCAUUAAACACAUCAAAAGAUUACCGUAAAAACAAUAUUAUAAAUGCAAUCGUAAACUCAUAGUCACUACAACUCUAAAUCAGGGACACCCCCUAGCAUUGGGGGGUUUAGCUACUCAUAUUGUUCAAAACAAAUUCAAGAUAAAAAAUACACAUUACAAGUAAUUGGAUGACUUGGAUCUUCAAUCGCUUCCGCUCAUGAAAACCUUUCGCUCUUUGAAUUCCUUGAUCUCUGUAAUCCUUGAUCGUAUGCCAAUUAUAUGUUCGCCUCAUUCAAAGAUGAUCUUUUCUCUUGUAGAAACUCUCAUAAUAUAGUGAAAAUCUCUUGGCAAAAGGUGGAAAUCUCCAAAAUGUCCUUGCAGCUCAAGCCUGGUGAAAAAGCCCGAGAACUGGAAAAAAUAACGAUUUAGGCUAACACGGGCGGUCGUGUCAGCUCUCUGCCUUGUUGUUUCCUUGCUGACAUGCCCCUGGUGACCUGACACGGGUCAUGUCAGCUGACACGGGCGGCCGUGUCAGACCACUAUCUUGGGCAUUACUUGUUCUUGUUUUUCCUUCCUCCUGACACGGCCCGUAUGUCAGGUGACACGGGUAGUCAUGUCAGGCCUCCUAAACUGGGAAAUCUUCUUUUUUCGAACGCUGGAGCUUUCCACUUUCUUGCAUUGAGUCCGUUGGAUCUUUUUCGUGGACCUGGAGGGCAUAAACACGACAAUCAAAACGUAAAAUCACGAAAACACAAAAUAAAACUGAAAAUUAAUAAAAAUGCUUAAAUAACUUACGGGAAUGAAAAUUAACUUUAAAGGUACCAUAAUGCGUACACAGUGUCUCAAAAUCCUUGGUUUCUUGUCGGAUAAGCAACGAAAACAUAGUGAAAAUGGUGACCGAUUAAUAGUAACCACAAGUCCAUGAGUUAGGAGAAACAAGUUAUUUUUAGGUUUUUUCCUCAUUAAUGUUUUCUUUACAAAGAUAUAAGAGUAAAGGUCCAAAUGGACAAAGAAACAAAAUGACAUAAUCACAAGCAGUAUGAUAUGAACUGUUAAAUAUAAUGUAUAAGGUAAAUGACACUAAAUAAAAGCAUAAAAUAAAUGACAUUAAAAUUGAAGUUAAUACAAGUGAAGAGUUAGUAAAAGAUGUUACUGAAAAUGAAAAGAUGUUUUUGGUCAUUUUUUGAAGAACACUCAACUAUCCACUCACAAGCAUGAAAAUAUGAACCUAUACAUCAUUUGUGAGAAGGGCUCCAACUUGGAUAAAUUCAACAAGUAUGUCACUAGCUCUCACAAAUGGAAAAAGGAGCAACAUUUUCACACAAUACCAUGAGGAAUAGGAGACUUACAAUCUCACUUAUAAAAUUGUCUUUUCUUUUGGGAUAAAUUUAGCGCUAUGUUAAGCAAUCGUAAUUGGACUUAUGUAGAAGUCACAACUAUCUGAGGUCGGUCAAUAAUAAUGUUUGUGUUAAUACAUGCUAGAGAAAUGAUAUGUAAAUCAUCCUCCUAAAUCCAUGCCACACAAGAAAAAAAAAGGGAUGACCAAGCACAAAGGCUAGGAGGAUGGUCCAUUACUUCAAUCCACACUUCAUGAUACUUAGGACAAACUUAUGCAUCAAUCCAAAGUACCUUAAAUGAUCCAUGAUCAAUUAGAAGGUAGAUUUGAAAUUAUGUAAGUUCAUCAAGUACCAAUCCACACAUCAUGAAUAAGAUGGACACAAGCUAUCCAAUUGAUCAAAGGGAAAAGAAGAAGAUGAAGAAGAAGGAAUCAAGAAAAUUUGCACCCAAAUUGGACUAAAAGUUUGAUCAAGUCAUCAUCAAAAUCAAUCAUCCAUUUUGGUGGAUUAGGGUUUUCACCCCAUCAACACCCAAUAUCCAUUGAGUUUGAUGAGACUUGAAGUCCAAACCAUCAUUACCCAAGGCCAACAGAAAAUCAUAAGGUCACACAAAUAUAAAAUGCAACUAAAUGAAAUAAAAUUGCAUCAAAGGUAUUUUUAAAUAAAUUUUAAAAUAGAAAUAAAAUGGAAAAUCCAUAAAGUCCUUAAAACACCAAAUAAAUGGCCAAGAAAAUAUGGAAGGUUGGAAAUAAAAUAAGAAACAUAUAAUAAAAUUUUCAGAAUUUUAAAAUGUAGAAAAGUAUUUUUAAACCAAUUAAAAGAAAGGAGAAAAGAGAAAAUUCAUGAAAAUAGGAAAUCAAUGAAAUAAAAUGUGAAAUAAUAAAAAUCAGAUGAAGAAUUUUUUGGAUGAAAAAUGAAAUUACUAUUAAUUUUAAAAAAAACAAUUUAAAUAAUAAAAGAAAAAGAAUUAAAAUCAGAAGAAAAAAAAUAGUGAGCGUUGGAUCACGCCUUAUUAAUUGACGUGUCAGAUCCAACACUCCAAAUAUUAGGAUACAUGGUGGAACACGCUGCAAGCCAAACACAAGAUCCAGCUCAAAUUCAACGAAUUAAAACAUUUCAAAAUGCCAACGUAUCUAGUUCAAACUCAGACCACUUGAGGAAAACUCCAGUCGUCUUCUCCAGUGAGCUCUCACCGGAGUUUCAUCGUUUUGUAAAUUUAAGACACGAGACCACUACCAUUGUGAUCAUCUUCUCAUCCUGAAUUCAACCUCAUACUCCAAAUUCAUUUAUAUGAACUGAGCAAAUGGAAUUUCAGAGAAGUUUCAGAAAAAAGAAGUCAUGAAAAAUAAAAUUAAAUGAUGAACACAAUCAAUCAACACCAGAUAAGUUAUGGGAAAGCAUCAGAGAGUGAAGGACUACAUUAUGGUAACUUGUUUGAGUUCAAAUGAUACUCAGAACUACCUUGUCUAGAUGGCGAUCAGAAGUUGAUGAAGCUCGAUCUGGUUAUAACACUUCAGGAGGUCUCAGAGCUUGGGAAUUGUUGCAAAAGGUUUGUAGGAUGCCGAUGGAGCUAAUGGAAUCAAGAAAUUGGAUUGAAAUAAGUUAAAACUCAAAAGACAAUAGUUGAAUUUUCUGGAAAAUUUUCAAGUUGCAGUAGGGAAUGUGUUUGGAUCCAAAGCUUGCAAAUGAAGGCAAUAGCUUCCUCUAUUUAUAGGGAAUGUGUUUGGAUCCAAAUACAUGUGGAAUGAUGAAGAAUUCGUGCAAAAUGAAUUUGAUCCAAGUGUGUGAAAAGUGUGACUUGAAACUCAUCAAAACUCAGCCAAAUGAUGCAUUUUAAGUGUCAAUUAACUUUUGGAGACUUGUUUAAACAUAUUUAGGACCAAAACACUUGCUAAUUUUGCUUGGAAUUGAGAUUAUUCAUGAUCAAAUUUCGGACAAUGGUGAUUUCUUCAGUUUCAAGUCACCAUGUUCAACUCAAUGGGGCAUCCUACUCAAGAGGCUUUUUGACCCCAUUCUUUUUCCAAUGUGUUAACAUCAUGGCCAAGAUUAAAAUGUACUAAGAAAGGUUAUAUUUGGAUGUUUGAGCACAAAGUUAUGGCAUGUUGAAGUUGGCAUAAAAUACUGGUCACAUAACUUAGAAAAAUUUGAGUACUUCAUGGUUGAAAAUGACCUAUAAUGUCCCAAUGAAUUCCAUGGCCUUCCAAGCAUAUUUUGACCUUGGUUCUUGAAGAAAACGUGUAGAUGGAAUCACAAAUGACAUUUUUCAAAAAUAAUCAGCCUCAUAUAUUGAAAAUUGAAGAAGUUAUGAUCCUUAAAAGUUGGGGAAAAGUCACUUGAAAAUAGAUCAAAUUUCACUAAGUCCACAAAUGAACUAUAAUGUCUCCAAACUUUUGAUGAUCCUCCAAGCAUAAUUGGCUCUUUUCAUAUAAAGAUAAGUUUUAGAGGAUGUUAAGAAGAGUCAUAUGUAAAAAGGAGCAUUCAAAAAUGUUGAGAAUUGAAGGAGUCGUGAUCUUUGGAACCUUGACUUCAAAAUAUUGAUUUUUAGGUCAAACCCCUUGGGACAAACUUGUAUAUUUGAACUUCUCUUGAAUUUCAAAGCACAUGGGUAAUCAUAUGACCUCAAGAUAAGAUGUCCUUUAUUUCCUCUUGAUUAAAUUGCUCAAAGCUUGAAGUUGCUUGUUGAAGAAGGCAUGGAAAUAAACACAUGAACCUUUGACUUUCCUUAAGAAGUAAGCAACUAAACUUUGAGAUGCUCUUGAUUUGAGAAGCCUUAUCUUGCAUAAUAAACUUCAGGAAAACAAGAAAUAUUUUUGGUAUUUUGAUUAGUGGUUAGAUAAGCAAUGAAUCAAAUAAACACAAAGGUAACAAAUCAACAAGGAGGUGUUUGGUGAUCUCUGCAAAAAGAAAACCCAAAGAUGGAUAAGGGAAAUGUCAAAAUGUGAUCUUGUUUGUGUGCAAAAAUGAAAAUGAGAUGUGAGAUCUUAGGGUUAAAAAUUAAGGUAUGACAUUCGAUAAUCUCAUUGCUAUCUUAUUCCAUUAUCAACAUUAGAUGUCAAAAUCUUCUUUCAUUAUCACCAUACAAUUGAAGUAAUUCAUUGUUGAAUCAGGUAGAUUUUUAUUUGCAUAUUGUGGUUUGGUUCUCUUUGACAAUUUUAAUUUUCUAUUUGCAUGUUGUGUUUUAAUCAAACACAGACUUUGAUUUCUACAUAGUAAGACCUAGGUCAAAUAUUUGAAUUUUCAUUUUUACUUCAUGUUGUAGUUUAUUUCUUUUUCCUUAAAACCUGAUAUUGUUAGUCAUUUAAGCCUCCAAAUUUAGGUAAACUAUUCACACAACCCCCUUGAUUAUUUCCAAAUCUCUUUUCUAUUAAAGGCGGUCUAGGUCUAUAUUGUAUAUUCAUUUUCCAUUUUUUACUCCAUAUUGCACUUUAUUACUCUUUCCUUAAUUUGGUCCUAUUUUUAGGAUAGCGAUGCCUUUUGAAAUGUUAAAGGGUACCAACGACAAAAGGGAACUUUGAAAACUUGAAAUCAAAGUCAAGUAUAAAUGGAUUGUUCUAUUUAAUAAAAAGGUGCACUUGGAAAUUAUUCUAAUUGAUAGAGAGGUAGUUAGAGUUAUAUAUUAUAUUUUAUGAUCUUUUCUAUUGUAAUUGGCCUACCACUUCUUCAAGCCUUUAACUUACUUAACUACCUAUUUUGUAGGGAACUGAUAUCUAAGUCAUAACAUCAACCUCAUUUAAAGUUGUAUUAGAUCCUUCGAUAAAAUCCAUUAUUACGUUAUUUUUUUGUAAUAUGAUUAUGUAGAUUGUUGACGAGGUUGUUAGUUAAUAAAUUUACUCUUCUUUUUAGUAAAAGAUGAAAAAAUAGUUCGAAUUAGAAAAACUUACAAUUGUUAUCUGUUAUCACGUGAAUGUAUAGGCCGAGAGUCCUUACUGCAUUGAUAGGAUUUAAUGGAUCAGUGUAGGCAACACUCAUGAGCAUCUUUCAAGAAGAAAAACUAGAGAACUAUUGAAGUAAAUAUAAUGUACCUAUAUAUUUUAGUGAAGGAUGUGGGGAUUCUCAGCCUCCCCUUUAUCAGAUUAGUCAACUAUUUAUUAGAUGUGUCUCCCUUCAAAUGGAUAUCUCUCCUUCCUCAAGGAUGAGUCUCCUAACAUGGGAAAUAAGGAGUGAUGUGACGUCAUACCGUAACUGUUAUGACAAGCUUCCAACAUUAUUUUGUUUUUUCUAUAAAGACAAAGAAUCAAGCUCAAAUGCAUUAUCAAAGAAGGAAAAACUUCAUAGUUCUAAAGAAAUUUCUUAUGACAAGACUUGGGACUCAAGCAAUCUUCAAAGACGUUGGACAUGGAUGAAUUGAUAUUGAGCAUAAGGAACAAAUUAUAAUUAUGCUUUGAAUAAGACUUUAGAAGCUCGAAACAAAUUCCAUUUUUCAUAUCUAAUCAUCCGUACAUGUUUUGAAAUUUUUUGGAAUAAAACUAUGUUGUUACAAAGUUGUUUUUAACAUUUUUAAAUAGCUAUAACCGUUUACACAAAACCUGUAAUCAGUUACAGACGUGAAUUUUUGUCUAAUUUCUACAACUGUCACCGAUUGACAUAACCGGUUACACGCACAAAAAUUUUAAAUUUACUUGUAACAACUAUAGCUAAUCGUUUACAUUAUGGUAACCGAUUACCACUUAACCAAUGGCACUUUUUCAGUAUCUUUUUUAUUCCAACAUUUUCCAAACUUUAUCCAUGAAUCAUGGCAAUGCUUCAUGAAUUUGUACGAAUUCCAAAAGGUGCAUUUUUCAGAUAUAAAUGUUUGUGGUUUCUGAAUUUCAAAAUUAACCUCUUACUAACAAUUCAAAUUCAAAUCUUUUUUCUCAAUUUUCAUCUAAGUGCCUUGAGCCAAAAAAAAUUGUGAAACUUUCGGCAUUAUUUUUACAGCAUCAUUAAAAGUUCCAUAUGAAAGUUCUGAGCAAUUAAGUGUUAUACAUUAUGAAUUGUUCAUUUGGAAGGGAAGUUCCAUUCUCAUAAUUGAUACAAGUACAAAAUCUUCUUCAUCAUUUAUUCAAAUUAUGUUUUGUUCACUAAGUGUAAAUGAUCAUUGUGUUCAAGUGAAAGUGAUAUGUUUUCUCUUGUAAGUUGUAAAAUCAAAAGGUGGUGUGUCUUUGUGAUUGUGUUAGAUAGUUAAGAGAGUCAAGUUGAUCGACUGUAACGUAACUGAAAUAGUAAAAUCUCUCACGGCAUGUGAGGGAAUUGGAGUACCCUUGUUUGGAAUGACAUACUAGGAUAUAUCUUGGUGUUCUUUAUUUUCUGCAUUUAUUUUUUAGCACUUUAACAUUCAUAUUAGCUCUAAAAAAUAAGAACAUCAUCGCUAAUGAUCAUAAUCGAGAAAAAUUCAAUAAUACCGAUUAAUCUAAUUUACCCAUUGCCCUCUUAGAUUAUAUUUCAUACUUACAGUAACAACAUGGAAGAAGUCAUAAGUAAAGUGGGUCAUGUUCCUCUGAAUAUCAUAAGAUAAAUUGUCCACAUAUUGAGUGGCUGCCAUUUUCCAAAGAGGUCUUGGAUCUAAGGCCAUGGUGUCUAUAAAUACCAUGAUAUCGAGAUAGAGAGACCAAACUACAACAUAAAAAUACACACAUACCCCCAAUGUGCUAUCUCUAAACCACACAUCAACCUUAAAACAUCUGACAACCUUGACUAUUAGAGGUUUUCACACAUUUGUACGUUUAGCAAGUAUAUAUAAUAACUGGAGAGGGCCUAAACUAAAAAAUACAUUUACAAGAGCUUCAAGUUAGUGUGAGAAGAACAACAUACAUUCUCUGUAUAUAGUAGUUAAAGAAUUUGAUCGAUACUCAACUUUGUUAUGGUUGUCGAGUGAGAUUUAUUUAGCUACAAAAGGUGGUAUGAGGUUAUUAUUUGUUCGGUGUCUAUGAUAAAAUAGAGAUAAAAUAUAAUAAAAAGUUAAAUAAAAUAAGAUAUUAAUAUGAUAAAUUUAUUAUAUUAUUAUGUGUUUGGUAUAUAUAUAUGAUAAAAAUUAUGUUAAGUCAGCUCAGAUGAUAGUUGUGCAUGAUCAUCGGAUGCAGGGACGACGAAAAAUAUUUUAAAGAUGUUGAAACGAUCUUAACCAUAUAUUCGUAAUGAUAUAUAAUGUUAAAUUUAUGUUAACAAUUUUUUUAUGUAAUAAACAAUUUCGAUAUUAAUUUAUGUUAUUCUUUCAAAAUUAUGCAAUUAUUUUUUAUUUGACAAAACAUGAUCUAUUUUAAAUAUGUAUAUCCCUAAAACUCAUUGAAUUUUGAAAUCAGAAUUAUUUCGACAAUUUCCUUACUGAAUUUAAAAAAAAAUUGAAAAAAAAUAAGAAUGACUCAUUUAUAAAAUGUUGAGUUGUGUAUACAUAUCUAAAAUUUUAAAAUUUGGGAGUAUUUUUUAUUUUUCACGCGCUAGCUUAUAGUAUUAACACAUUGUUAUUAUGAAAUAUUAUGAAUUUAAAGCCCAUAAAGAAAACUGACAUGUUAUGAAUUUAAAGCCUAUAAAAAAAUCCAAUAGAAUGUUUCUCUAAAAUUAUACUCCUUUCUUUCUGAAAUAUAAGAGGGAAAAACACGCAUCUAUCCAAAACUAUAAGUAAAUUUAUUUUAAAACACAAAUUAAUUUUUUUAACUAAUCAAACAUGAAUAUAUUAUUAAAAUCCACAAAUAAACAUGAACAUUGAGAUUUUGCCAACUAUGAAAGUAAAGUCACCGUCCCAACAGCAUACAGAAUGGCCAAACAACAGCAGUACAUACAAAAAGUACAACAAUUUCACAAACAAAAAACAACCUCUUCCACUUUAAGUUACCUCAUAUCAAGUAUCAACCACUUCAAACAAAAACAACUCUCUUUCUUCUUCAAUUGGAUCAUUCAUUUUCCUUAAAACUCAACCCCUCAAUUUUGACUUUAACUCUUUAAUUGUUCUUUAAUUUUGGAGUUACCUAGAUCUUAGUUCAGUUUCAGUUUGUGACAACUCCCGCAAGAAAGAGAAACCGACAAGGUGCAUUUAAAUCUCAAAGAUUGUUUUUUUCUUCUUCUGAGUUUCUAUUCCAUGAUGUUCAACUUAUUUGUAGAGAAGCUGAAACAUUGCUUAUUAUGAAGUUUCACCCACCUUCAAAAAUUGUAUCUUUCUGAUGAAGGAGUAAUCUAUUCUGUUCUUAUUUAUCUAUCAGCUUAUUAGCAAGAGGUGGGUGGGUCCCAAUUAUCUUAUGCACCUUAUAUAGCUCCAAAGUUAUAAUCUUUGGCAUUAGGGUGUGGAUUGAUGCAGAUUUAAAAUACCAUGCUUUAUCCUGCAGAAAAUUAUGGACCUUUUUUUGUUGAAAUGUAACUAUACCUGUUAAAAGGGUAGUUUUUGUUCUGUUGUGUGUUUGUUAUCAAUCUAUUGUUAUUGUCAUUUGAAGAUUUGCGAGGUUCUUGCUGCUUUGGGUUUCAACUAUUAGGGAUCUUGAAGUGAAGCGGUUCUUAAAAGCUGUUUUUGAUUUAGUAGUGUCAUAAGAGUAUGAGGAAAAAUGCUGGUUAUCAUUCCGGUGGAAGGAUGUUUAGUGACAAGAAAUGGAUUAUCCCGUUUUUUGCAAGUUUGUUGGUAUCUGCGAGCUUGAUUCUGACGGCUAUUCUUGGCGAAUUUAGUUAUUCUGGUGAGGAAGAGCAGUUACCGCUGGUUGAUGUAGUUUCACUCAACGGACUAGAGGAUAAUUCCAGUGGAUAUUUUGUGGAGUCGGAUUUGGAGAGCUCUCUUAAUGCGAAUGUUGUUGUGAAGAUGAAGGUGCCUAAGUUUGCAUACCUUAUUUCGGGGACAAAGGGGGAUAGUCGUAGGAUGCUGAGGACAUUAGAGGCAGUGUACCACCCGAGAAAUCAGUACAUUUUGCAUUUAGAUCUUGAGGCGCCGCCUCGGGAAAGGUUGGAGUUGGCCAAUGCAGUGAAAGCUGAUCCGAUAUUCAGGGAAGUGGAGAAUGUACGCGUUAUGUCUCAAUCUAAUUUGGUUACUUAUAAGGGUCCUACGAUGAUUGCUUGUACUCUUCAAGCUAUUGCGAUACUACUGAAGGAGAGUUCGGAGUGGGACUGGUUUGUAAACCUCAGUGCCUCAGAUUACCCUCUUGUGACACAAGAUGGUUAGUAAUUGAACUUUUACAUGCUUCUUUGAUGUUAUGUAUGCUGUUAUUUCGGUAAUUAAAUUCCUUGCAUAAACUAUAAUGUCUUAUGUGGUAAAAGGUUUGCGAGUAAAAUUGGGCUUAAGCUAAUGAACCAAGUCUUCCAUGUUUGUCGCCCUGUUUCUACUUUGGCUUUUCCUUUCCUUUGUAAUUCCCUUGUUUGAUUGUAUUCAUGAUUCCAGGGAACUCUAUUGCUUAUCUUCCUUUUAAUUCUUCUAUUAAGAGUCCCACAUUGAACAAUAUAUGGUUUGAACAUGUGUUUAUAAGUAGGGGCAAUCCUCACAUGCCGGUUUUGUAUGGUUGAGUUAGGUCCAAUCACAAUUCUUAACACAUUCUAGCCUUAGGUAUAGUUGUUUUCGGUCAUUCAAGCCCUAACCUUGAUUAACCAAGCCCUAUCGCGCCAGAUGUCUUACUCUGAAGCCUUUCUGGUGUCGAGACGGAACGGUAAAACAAAGAAACCACGUCACGUUAGCAGUGGCCGUAUAUGAUAAUGGGAAUGGAUUUGAAACAAUGUCGCUCUGACUCGGCACCUCCGGCCACGUUAGCCGUGACCGUAUAUGAUAUUACGCUUACAUUUUUAAGGAUAGCAAGGUUAUUUUAUUGGCAUUUGCAAGCAUGUUUUGCUUAAGACUUGUGGCUUUUAUUUCUAUAUAUGAAUAGUUCAUGAAUUUUGAUUGAUUUAUAUUAGUUUUUAACAAUUAUGUGUUCAUUAGUAUUAACUAUAUUACUGUCCGCGUCACAAAAAUUACCAGCCGUUCCGCUCCUUGCUCCCUUUCCAUUCCAUUUUUGGGAAUGGCCGCGCCACGCCGCUAUCCGAGAUUGACAACAUAUCACAUCCUUUUGUUUCUGCUAUAGUUCUCCCAAGUGCCAUUUUAUGUUGAUAUUUGAGAUAUCUGUCUGGAUAUGAAAGUCAUUUUUGUUGUUAUGCUAGAUUACAUUUGUGAGCUCCAACAUCUAGCUCAGAUGCUAAACAACGCAUUUUCAAUAUAUAAUCUUUUUUUUUAAAGGUCUACAUCUUAUUUUACACAAAAUUUAUGUGUCCUCUAAUCUAACUAAGUCGAUCUGCCUUCUUUAAAGUGAGUUUGCCUCUAAAGUGGGCAAGGGUUUAUCAACUGUUGGUCCCACAAAAAUUAAGGGAGUACUAUUACUGAUGGCUAUUAUUCCUAUCUAAAGAAGGGAAAGUGUACUAUCAAAGGAAAUUGGAAGAACACUACAUAAACUGCAAGAGAAAAUGCUACCGGCCAAGUUGAAUACCAAUGGCCCCACGCUGAAAAGGCGAUGCCGAAAUAGAAAACAGACAUGCCCCUCAAAUAUUACUUCCUUGCACAUAUAGCAAACUUCGUCGCUUUCCCUCACUAUGUUCAUGUAAAACAAAAACUCACUUUAAAGGAAUGCUUUCCAAUCUAAGCAGUUUCUGAAUCUACUCAGGAAUCACAGCUUCAUUCAUGAAUGUAUGUUGGACAUGGAUUAUAACAAGAUUGGUGUUAUGCUAUAUGGACUGAAGUGUAAAACAUUUGAGAUGAUUAUCCUCAUACUAAAAGUCUAAACUUGUGUUGCGAGAUUGUCGUGUACAAAAUGCUUUCAGUUUUGACCCUAACUAUUUCCUUAGGGGCAUUUGUAGUCAGCAAUAUACAAGUCUUCUGGUGUCAACAUCUUUAGUACAAAUAUCUUUAUAUUCGAUCUGUUGCCAUAAAUGAAGGUUCAUAUAGUUCAUCUCUAUGUUUACUACUUUUGCAGAUAUGCUUCAUGUUUUCUCUAAUCUGUCGAGAGAUCUCAAUUUCAUUGAGCAUACACACAUUUCCGGUUGGAAGUUGUAAGUGAAAUUGUAUCAUUACAUAUUUGAAAAUUGCUGUAUCUUUGUCAUCCCCUCAUCGACAUUUCUUUCUAUUACUGCGUAUAUGUUCAGGAACCAAAGAGCAAGGCCCAUCAUUAUCGAUCCUGCCUUUUACUUAUCAAAGAAAUCUGAUUUGGCAGUGACUUCUCAGAAAAGAACACUUCCCACGUCUUUUAAAUUGUUCACCGGUAUGUUUUGUCUCUAGAUUUCUGUAUACAUUAUUCCUUUAUUUUCUACAACAUGCUUAAAUUUCUGUCUAUGCUUUGUGAACAGGUUCAGCUUGGGUUGUACUAACACGGUCGUUUGUGGAGUAUUGUAUAUGGGGAUGGGAUAACUUUCCGCGGACAAUGCUUAUGUAUUAUACAAAUUUUGUCUCCUCGCCAGAGGGAUAUUUUCAUACAGUUAUUUGUAACACUGAGAAAUUUCGGCAUACUGCAAUAAGUCACGAUCUUCACUACAUUGCGUGGGACAGUCCUCCAAAGCAACAUCCAAUCUCUUUAUCUAUGAAGGACUUUGAUAAAAUGGCUAAGAGCAAUGCUCCCUUUGCCCGAAAGUUUGGAAAAGAUGAUACAGUCCUAGACAAGAUUGACAAAGAACUUUUGGGGCGCACACAUAGAUUUUCGCCAGGGGCAUGGUGUAUUGGGACAUCAGAUGGUGAAGCAGACCCGUGUUCUUUGCGGGGAAAUGACACGGUGCUUAAGCCAGGACCUGGUGCAGAGAAGCUACAUCAUUUGCUUCAGGUGCUGUUAUCUGAAGAAUUUACAAGCAAACAGUGUUUGUGACAAUGGGGUACACUACAGAUUGGAUAAUGCCAAGUGUACAUAAUAUGGUUAUAUAUCAUCAUAUAUAUCUGAUUUAAAAAGUUAGAAUUUUGUAUUGAAUAAUAUAGGUUCAUAGUAAGAAGCAACAAGCACCCAUAGUAGUAGUUUUUUUGGUGCUUGUUUCGGUUUAGUUUCGCGAAUUCAAGCCAACCAUUUAUGUUAUAGCAACCUUCUUAUUUUUGUUGAGUUAAAAAAGACGACCGAGUUUCAUUUUCGUAACAGAUUCCUUUAUUGAUUAUGUAUUAUCUUUUGGAGAAAUUUUUAUAUCAGCAAUACAUGUUACAGGCACUUUAUUCAACAUUGUAUGGAUGGUCCAAUCUGAUUAAACUUCAGAUUGCAGCAUACUAUUUAUGCUGAAUUCUUUCCUUGAGUUAGGACCAGUUUUGUACACUUGAGGACAUGGUCUUUAAUUCAAACUUGAAAGCAUAAUAAAUCAUUCACCAGACUUGUUUGCUAGGACAUCAUCAGUCAUUAAAUAUGGUUCACUUUUUCAGUGGGUGCACGUGAUAUCAGGAUGAAGUACUUUCACUUUAAGAAUUUUUUGCUCCAAUCAACUUUACAGCAUUGCAUGUGUAUCAACCUAAACUAUUAUUUUCACAAUGUUAAAAUAUUAGUUGUCCAAUUUAUGCAACUGAUGUUCACAAUAAUAUCUGCUUGUGGCAAGUAGCUUUUGUAAAUUUCUUUUCCUGUCAAUAAUCUCAAUAUAAAUGGGACACUGGGACAGUGAAAAGCAAUGGUCUACAAUACAUAGUUCCUGAAAGAAUUUCCCUUUGUUUUUGCAAUUCCAAAAAUAAAAGAACUCGACUUUCAUUCGCAGACCAGCAACCUUUUUCCGCCAAAGUCAACUUCAUACUUUCCCACCUAGGACGAAAUACAAGGAAGAAGAAAAAAUAUAUUUUGCAAAUGCACCAACACAAACAGUAAAAAUAUAAAACAAGGACACUAGUGAUGCAAACUCAUGUGGUAUAACAAGAAUCUAAUGUAACUGAGUGGUAAUGAAAUUGCUUAAGAGCUCUGCUGUUUAGCAAAAAAAUCUUCAUUCUGAAAGAAAAAAUGAAUGCAACAGUAUCUGUAUAUAAGUUGGGAGCAUUUGAAAAAAAAGAUUCAUCCAAUGGCUUUGGGUACUUCAGAGUUCUCAGAAGAAAAUCUCCAUGUAUGUAGCUGUUUCCAUUGCUAAACUCAAUGCCCCAAAUGUUUUUUUACACGACUAUCACAUAAAAGUUCAGAUCAUUCCAAUAGUUUAAAAUUAUGCCAGAUAUUGUUAAUAUGGAAAUCACACAUCUAUAAUACAGUUUACCAGAAAAAUAUUUUUCAUGAGAUAAAUCGCAAAACAGUAAAAGUUUGAUUCAACAAAUUAGUCACUUUAUCUCCAAAUUCUGUGUUGUCGUGAUAAGCCCUUAUUUUGAUAAUUACUUGUUAAAAUUAACCAGACUCUAGAAGAAUGACCACAUAUCUGUCUACUUUAAUAUAUGCUCCAUAAUACCCAUAGCAACAAAUACAAAUAAUACAUAUGGUUUAGUAUUCAAGACUGCAACUUACAUAUCCAACAUUAUCCUUCAACCCUAUUUUUUUUUUUGUUUUUUACCAUUGUAGCCAAAAUCUGGUUCAAAAUUGAGUGUCAUUGGCCUCAGCAGGAUAGCCGUUAUAGUGGAGCUUGACAUGCAAUGAAGAACACAGCAUCUUGAACUUGAGCCUGAGGCUAUCCAUGAUCUCCUGCACUUGUAGAUCUUCGGGAUCCAUUAGAGGGUAUUUGUGGAUCAAGUCCUGCAUCUGAGUGAUAGCCAUUUUGGCCCGUGAAGAGAAGCAGGUUGGGUCGAUCUGGAUGGCGGAUGUCCAGAUGUGGAUGCAGCCGCUGUAGAAGCCAAGUUCCUCACCAACCUCAAAACCGACCUUGAGCCCAACCUGCUUUCCCUCCUCCUUGCCUGCAACAAGGCCAUCGCUGUAGCCUUCGUCGUAGCCUUCUUUCAAAUGGGUCUCCUCCAAAUUCACUGAAGAAUCAAACGGGUCAUCCAUCAGCACACAACACCCAAUGCACAACCUGCCAAAGAAAAUGGACACUUUUCAAUGUGACAUUUUCUUUUAAAAGAUAUUAUGGUCAAGAAAAGGGGCAGGUUUAGGUUAUUUUUAUUUAUGUAGGGAUGUCCUUGGUUUAUUUCAUCAGAAAAAACAGAAUCAAAGCAAACCAAACUAGAACUCAAUCAGAACCAAACCUGGUUUUCUUCAACCCGAACCAAAUACAACAGGUUUUAAAACCAGUCUAAAAACUUGUUCAGUUUGUAAGAACCAGAUAAAAAAAACUAGUUCAAGAACUAAUUCCAGUUUAAGAACUGAAUUGUCAGGCUCUAAUAGAUAGUUCUCAAACUGGUCUUGCAACCAAGUAAAAAAUAAAACAGUUACCAACAAGAAAAAAUCUGGGUCAUCUACUUCAUUGAAUACAUUUAAAAAGUCCAUCACUAUAUUUUAAAGUUGAAGACAGAUGUAGCCAUUAGUUCAAAUCCCCCUUUUUUUUAAUGAAAAAAAAAACUCAAGCAUAUACAUUAACACACAUUUCUUCAAACACAUGAAAUGCAAUUUACAUAAAACAUAAAACCUUAACAAUAAAAAAUGGUAAACCAACCAUGAACACACUUAGAAUUAAUGACUUAACAAAUCCCAUUAAUGUCUUUUUGUUUUCAAAUUUUCUACUAUAUACUUGAACCUAUCUCUCAUCUAACAUAACUCUAACAUCCCAACUUUGUGUUUAUUCUUAAUUACCAUUCAUUUUGCUUGUUUAGAUAUAAUAUACAAAUUUCAAAACCAGAACUUAAACAUCAGAAUAAUCACAUGCUAUCCUUUCAACUUAAAUUUGUGGUAGAAGCUUAAAAAUUUAUCCCUUCAAGUUACAAUAAAACCACAAAACAGCAAAAGUUUCCCAUCAAAAUCAAAAUUGUAAACGGUAACAAUAAUAAUAAUAAUAAUAAUAAUAAUAAAGACAAGAAAAAAAAAUAAAGAAUUAGAACAAUAACAAUAACAAGAAAUCAAAUUUUAAAUUAAAUUAUCAACGAAGUUAGAAAAUUAGGGUUCCGGAAAGAACAAGAAAAGGAAAAAUAAUAGAGGAGGGUAGUGAUGGAGAGUGAAUGAGAAGAAGGAAGAAGACAAUAGGCUUACCAAUUUGUGAAGAGAAUGAUUGUAUAAGCGGAUACCUUUCGAAGAUGGAGUCACUUGAAUGGAUUUACUUGUCAGUUUUCUAUGUUUUAUGCUUCAAUAAUUUAUUUUUAAUGUUCUUCCCAUUGCCCACUGCUAAACCGUGGGUAAAAGUUUAUUUACUAAAAUUUUAUUCCAAUAGAGAUAAAAGGAGUGGGGUCUAUCUCUCCGCACAUAAUAAAAGAAAGCCUCCAUAUGGUGGAAAGACAUUAAAGAUGUUGGUCUGAAUAUAAAAGAUAACAGGGAUUGCUUUGCAGGAAAUGUGAAAUUCAAGGUGGGAGCAGGAGAAUUGACACCAUUCUGGCUUGGCAUAGGCAGGUGGAUUGGUGAUAAGCCAUUAAAAUUGGUUUACCCCAUUCUGUUUAAGUUAACAGAGAAACCAGGAGGAAAUGUUGCAGAGGUGGGAAGGAUAAUUCAGGGUGUUUGGACAUGGGAUUUUCAUAUCAGUGAUAACUAAUUAUUCAGUGAGAAUAAGGAAGCAGAAAGUCAGUUGAAGGAGUUCACAUAAAUAUUGAUACAUGUAGAAACUGACUAGCACAAGAAAGAUAAAGUUAUGUGGAGCCUCAACCAAAAUGGAACUUUCAGUGUCAAAAGCUGUUAUGAGAAAUUAAGAGAGAAUGAAGUAGAAGAUGAUAUGGAGGAAGAGAAGAAAUAGGUCAUAAGAAGAAUAUGGAAAACAAGCAAACCAUCUAAAUUGAAAGUGUUUGGUUGGAGAGUGAUGUUAAAUAGAUUGUCUACAAGGGAUCAAUUAGCAAGGUGGGGCAUUUUACAAAAUGUUCAUGAGAAGACUUGUGUUUUAUGUUUUGAAGUGGAGGAAAAUUUGUACCAUCUGUUCUUUCAAUGCAGGGGUAGGAGGAGGAUAUGGAGCAUAAUGUAUCAAUGUUUAGGAAUGAAGAAUCUAGGGGAGACAUCAAUCCUGAAUCAUUACGGUUUGUUUUCUCAAAGCCUUGCUGGGUAGGAUGAAGAAGAAGAAUAGUGGAGCAUGUUGGCUUGCAGCAGUAUGGAGCAUGAGGAAUGACAUUGUGUUGUGUUUUAGAGGAUUUAGUUAUCAACAUUAAAAUUGCAUCAUGGAUUUGGCAUAGUAUAGGGUUGAAAAGUCAUACUUCUGUAACAUUUUAUAAUUGACUACAAUAUCCUGUAUAAUAUCGAAUGUAGGCUGGUAAUUGAAGUUCACUAAUGUAAUUUGUAAUAGCAAAAGUACCCCCUUAUACUCUAUUCAAUACAAUUCAUUUUAAUUAUAAAAAUAACAAUAAGCGAAUGGAAGAAACUAGAGAAUUUUACCAAGAGUAUAAACAUCAUGAGUAAAAACAUAUAAUUAUACGCAAAUUUUUCCAUUCCAUAUUUUAAGUAAAUUUUACUUUUUUAAAUUUAUUAAAUAAUUAAUAUAUUUUAUAUAUAUAGUAUAUAUAUAUAUAUAUAUAUCUAUAUAUAUAUAUAUAUAUAUAUAUAUAUAUAAAUAUAAUAUAUAUAUAUAUAAUAAUAUAUAUAUAUAAUAUAUAUAUAUAUAUAAAUAUAUAUCAGAUACAUUAAUUAUUUAAUUAAUCUAAAAAAAUAAAAUUUGUUUAUAAUAUGGGAGAGAGUAUUAAAAGCAAAUUGAAGUACAAAUAUUCUACAUCUAUCCAAAAGAAGAAGCAUUAAGCAUUCUUCUUAAUAUAAACUAAAGGAGAAUUAAAUCAGUCAAAAUAACUACACUACAAAAUAGAAUUGUUACUCAACCCCAUUCAUUUCCAAGAUAUGAAUUUAAUGGAUGCUAAAUAAUCCUCAAAGCUAAACACUUCAUCUUUAAAAAUGACGAAGUUUCUCAAUAACCAAAUGCUCCAAAUAAUUGUAAACCAAAUAAAGAGUAAAAGUUUUUACAAAUCUCAUUCUUCAUUGGGCUGUUUGUUUGUGGGGAGAAUCUCAUUCUUCGCACAUGAAUUGAAUAAAUGAUUAGAAUCUUCUAAUUCCUGCAAAUAGAAAAUGCAGCAAUUGUCCCUAGAAAUAAUAGAAAUGCAUCUCUUAAGAAGUUGAUCUCUUGUCGGUAACCGAUCACGAAUCAAUCUCCAUCAGAAAAUUUGAAUUUUUGGUUGAACCUUCAACUUCCAAAUAAUAGCUAAAGUUGUCAAACAAUCUUGUGUAAGAUCCGUCAAGCAAGGAUCCAUCUUUAUGUAGCAAGAAUUAACGUUAAAGCAUUCGGAUUUGUCCGCCUUCCAACAAAGUUCAUUUUCUCUAUCCUUCAGCGGCUCAACAUCAUCCAAGAUCCUGCAAAUUUCUUCCAUUUUCACUGCUGCUUCAAAGUCUGAAUCCUCGAUGUUACAAGGUAGAUUCCAAAUCCAAACGUUCCUUUCCCAAUAGCAUGUGUCUUCUAUAUUGCACGCUUGAUCAUUCUCCCUUGAAAAAGCUUCAGGAAAAACUCCCCUCAAAGAUCGAUUUGCUGCCCAAUUGCUAUGCCAAAAAGAAAUACCAUUGCCAUUCUUCAUCUUGCAAAAAAUAUUGUUAGAGAAUUUUUUUUGGUGAACCUCAUCCUUCAAUUCCAGCCUUAACAAAUCCCUCCACCAAAUAUAUUCUUCUCUCCUUGUCUUAUUACUAUCAUCGACAAACAUUUUCAACUCCGGACUGAUGUAUUUAACUCUCAAUAUCUCACUCCACAAUGCAUCAUUUUUCUUAACUAUCCUCCAUUUCCAUUUGAGUAGCAAAAUUGUGUUGAAGAGCUCAAGAUUCUUGAUGUCCAACCCCCAUUUAUAUUUUGGUUUGCAAACCAAUACCAUUUUGACCUAAUGGAUAACUUUUUUAUCUUCUGCUCCACCCCAUAAGAAAUUAGCUUGAAUCAUUCUUAUUUCUUUUAACACCUUGAUUGGUGCUUUAUAGAACAAUAAUGAAUAAAUGGAAAUUGAAUUCAAAAUAGAAUUAAUCAACACAAUCUUCCCUCCUGUAGAUAGAAAUUUGUUUUUCCAAGUUGUCAAUGUAGACGCAAUGUUGUUGAUGACUUCUUUCCACAUAUGCACUCUUCUCAGACUAUCUCUUACUUUCACCCCUAAGAAUUUGAAAGGAAAUUGCUCUUCACAACAAGAUAAAAAAAAAGAAGUAGUUGCAUUCAUGCUCCUCUCACUCAUAUUGAUCCCAUAGAUUUUACUUUUAAAGAAAUUCACCUUCAAACCAGAAACCAAUUCAAAACCUUUUAAGAUAGCUUUUAACCCCCAUAAAUUCUCCAAUCUACCAUCUCCAAAGAUGAUAGUAUCAUCAGAAAAUUGAAGAAUAUUGACUGAACCUCCUCAUUUAAAUGAAAACCAGAGUACUCCCCUAUAGCCACUGCUUUAUUCAUCAAUCUUGUCAACCCCUCCAUAGCCAUAACAAAUAAGAACAGAGAUAACGGAUUGCCCUGCCUCAAACCCCUCUCCACCUUGAAAUCCUUUGUUACACAACCAUUGACCAAAACCGACAUAGAAUUGUUAAAAACACACGCCUCCAUCCACUCUUUCCACUUAUUCCUAAAACCCAUCUUAUUAAGACAAAAUCUCAAAUAAUUUCAACUAACACUACUGUUGGCCUUCUCGUAAUCUACUUUCAGAAUAAAAAUAACUCCUCUUCUCCCUUUUAGAAAAAUCAAUAAAUUUAUUUACUACUAACACCCCAUCCAAGAUAUUUCUUUCUGGAAUAAACGUUGUUUGGUUUUUGGAUAUGAGAUUACCUAAAACCCUUUUCAAACAAUAAGCCAACAACUUUGCAAGAAUUUUAUAAAGACACCCAACUAGACAAAUUGACUUGUACUCCGAUAAAACUUGCAGAUUAUUGACUUUUAGGAUAAGCGUGAGAAAAGAAGCAGUACUUGCCUUAGUAAGAGUGGCCUUGCUAUGAAAGUUGAUCGCGACUUUGUAAGUCUAUGUGAAUCGUGACUGCAAGUGCACAGUCCUAUCGCGUAGUUUUAAAUAUUAUCGAACCCACAAGGACUAAUAAUCGAACGUAUCAUGGUCUAAUGUUGCUAUGUAAAUCUAAGGCUGGUGAUUGUUCUAGGAUUGGAGGGAUGAAGAGAAAUAAUUAUAACGUAAAUAGAAAUAAGAUAUGGGAUAUAAGGGAUAUCGGUAUGUAAUACAUCAAACUUUGGGGAUUCGAUAGAUAGUUGGUGUAAUCUUAUUGGUUAAAAUAUUCUUCAGUAGAAAUUAUUUAUAGAAAUGACUUAGUCUCACACUCUCGUUUUUAUUGACUCUGACCAUACUCCUAAACCAGAAUGCUUGGCUCUCUUUGAAUUUAAAAGUAAUUUUUGAAUAUAAAUAAGGUUUAAUUAAUCCUAAAGCACUCUCGCUGUGUUUAGGAUCAAUGCCUAGUUUCAGUUAUCUGGUUAAAAUCUCAAACUCUUGUUCUUGUUGACUGUAACCUUAGUUUGUUUUGUACUCUCGUACGAAAAACAGUUUGAUUAAAAUAAGAAACUAAAAACCGGAAAAAUAAGUUUUAUAAAAACUAACACCAAUUAUUUAUUGAACCCCGUCGUUUCGAAGGUCUUUACAUACCGAUACCUAAGGGUUUAGCCGGACAUGGAUCCAGUAACAGACAUGGUGAUUGGGGAAUUAAACAUGCAAUAAGACAUAAAUAAAUAAAACAGUAAUCAAAAUAAAACAUGGAUUGCAAUUUAAGAACUGGAACUAAAUCUUGAAUCUUCUAUUAAAAUAAUUCAGGCAGGCUUUGGCAAUGAAUAACCCUUACAAUCGAAUCCUAGAUGCGUAAAAAUAAUAAACCGUAAUAGUCCCCGAUGUGGAGAAACUAUCACUUUUACAAGGUAAGAAAAUUGCCUAGAAAACUAAAAGAAAAAUAGUGUUGAAUAAAAUUAAUCGUGAACUUGAAAACUGGAAGAAGAGAGAGAGUCCUGCAAGUCUGAGAGGUCCACUUUUUAUAUCUUUUUCCACAAUCCCUAAAUUGUAGCAACGUAAUGACAUCGUGGCUAAAAAAGUGGAGAUAAUGGUGGAAGACCAGGCGCCACAACCCUAGCUUCUUAAUGAGUGGCGCGCGCCACCUUUGUAGCAACGGAAAGCCACUUCUCAAGGGCUGGUGGCGGGCGCCACCUUCCUCUUGGGCCAAUGUGGCGGGCGCCACACUCGUUGGAUAAUGGGCGCCACAAGCCCAUUUGCUUUGGUGGCCCAUUAUCCCUUUGAAAACCUCAUUUUCUUCUACCUUCCUCUUGGGCCAAUGUGGCGGGCGCCACACUCGUUGGAUAAUGGGCGCCACAAGCCCAUUUGCUUUGGUGGCCCAUUAUCCCUUUGAAAACCUCAUUUUCUUCUCUUUUUCUUCCCUUUUUCUUUCCUUUUUGUUAUUUUCCAUUUUGCUUGCGGUAAACAUUUUUAUCGAUAAAUACCUGCAAUAAACAUAAAAUAUUGCGUAAUAAUAAGUGUUAAUCGAGUAAAAAGCAAUGCAUAUGCAGUCAAAAAUACGAUACGUUUUCGCGUUAUCAAACUCCCUCAUACUUAAACCUUUGCUUGUCCUCAAGCAAAUGCCGCGUACAUAAAAAGUUUUGUAAAAUAUUUGCAGUAUACAUUAUCAAGGCUCGUAGAAAACACAGUUGCAUUCGGAUACUCAUCCUAGUCUAUAAACUUUACUUUGGUUCAAAAUUGUAUUAACAGGUACUCACUUCCACACUAAGGGUAUCGUUAGAACACACAGUCGCAAUGUUGCAACCAUAAGUCUCCCUCCUAUACAAACCAAUCUGAAUCAUGUUGUUAUGCCUAAGCCUAUCUUACUAAAACUUCUUUUUAUCCUUUUUCAUUCUGGCGCAAUCACAUUAAGCUCGUUAUCCUUUCACAUUCAUAGCAAGAUAAUAUGUUAAUGACUAUGAUCUCAUCAUUAUUUCUUUCUUUCUUUUUCGCACUUUGGCUCAAAUAACAAUUGAAGAUGGUUAUACCGUUGGGCUAAAUGACCGGGUGAGGAUCACCUAACUUAGAGGGAACAACAUUUUUCAUACAUUUUGUAAUCUUUUCUUCUUUUAAGUCUGAAAUCAUACACUUAUUUGCAUCGACUUCUUGCGUAAUAUGUGCUUAGGAUGGUGCUGACUACUAGAUAAACUACUUAAGAAAAUAUUAAAGGAUAGAAUUUAAGGCUAUGGCAUGACAAGUACUCAAAUCGAUCUUAUACUUGGAAGAUUUAAGGUGUUAAAACGAUACCGAUCUUAUAAAGUUUUUCCAAAUCUCUACAAUUCAACCUCAAUUUGAUUUAUAGUUUAGAAUUUUCAAAAGAUGCAUUGUAUCUCUAAGUCUAGAUUUUUGUAAAAAAAUUGUAUGGCUUAAGUAAAUAGGAGAAUUAGUAAAUAACGAAAACCACGCAUAAAGACUCGACAACACAUUGAUAUUUAACUCAACUGACACUUUAACAAAAAUUAAAAUAACCAAAAAAAUUAUAAAAUAACAAAAGGAAAUAACAAUAUUUUAAAUCUAACUAGAAAGCGGUAAAGCUUCCUCCCCCAUACUUAAAUCUUGCAUUGUCCCGGAUCACACCGAAUUACACCGUGUUUUUGACUCGGAUUUCACAUGUUUAUUAGGACUUUAUUAUCAUUUUGUUUGUAUUAUGCUCUCUUUUCUCUUGUUUUCAGAUAUUUAGCACUUUCGAACUCUUUUGGAAGAAAUGAAGCAAAAAGACCUAAAAUUAGGGUUUUUCGGCGAAAUUACACACAUGGCGUUGCACAUGGCGGCCGCUAUAGGGGAAGCCAUGAGUCAUCAGCCCUCAACUAGGAGGUAACCACCACGUUCCCAUAAAAAUUAGGGUUUUUCGGCGAAAUUACACACAUGGCGUUGCACAUGGCGGCCGCUAUAGGGGAAGCCAUGAGUCAUCAGCCCUCAACUAGGAGGUAACCACCACGUUCCCAUGAUCCACCCCAUUUAGACACAUGGCGGACGCCAUGAAGGGAUGGCGGACGCCACCUUUGGAAAUCACGUUCCCACUAAGUCCCACUAAGGAGAAGUUGGAGGGCACCAUGGUCUUUACAAACUGCUGAAAAUCUCUAUAAAUAGCUCAUUCCAUUUCGUUUUCUAGCAUCCAGCUUAGUUUUACAACACUAAGCCUAUAUUUAUCAUUUGUAAUAGCGAUAAUCCAUCACAUCGGGGGGUUAUCGCACCUUUGUGAGAUUGAGUUGGGUCACUUCGAGUCGCUGUCGUCUUUAGCUUCAGGAGUCGGAGGUUUACUUUUGUACCAGAAUCGAAGCCUCCGUUUGGAGCAGGUUCUUAUUUAUCGCUUUAUUUAUUUAUUUCCCGCAUUUCCUUUAUUUUAUUUAUUUCUCGCACUCGCUUUAUUUUAUUUAUUUUCCGCACUCGCUUUAUUUUAUUUAUUUUCCGCACUCGCUUUAUUUUAUUUAUUUUCCUGCACUCGCUUUACUUUAUUUAUUUUCCGCACUCGCUUUUAUUUUAUUUAUUUUCCGCACUCGUUUUACUUUAUUUUUUUUGCACACUCGCUUUAUUUUAUUUAUUUUACGCACUUUACUCGCUCUCUACGCCUCACAUUCUAAAACAAACUUUUCAUCAUGAUUAACAACGUUAUGUUCGUUUGUGUUACCAUGUCUGGCUAAAUCUUUUAAAGGUUAAAAUGUAAGGAUCGCGGUUAAAGUAAUGUUUCACAUAUUGAAAUCUGUAGAAAUACUUAAAAGGUUGUUUUGAUUUUUAACUUGAGUUUUCUAAAACAAACUUGGUUAGUUUUAACUAUUCGAGGAGUGCUAAAGCACCCUGGCUUAGUAACUAAGAAUCUUUAUCACUUUAAGGAAAAACUAUUUUUGAAACUGUUUUCGGACGCGUUAAUAGAUUUAAAAUCAGGAAACUCCUUGGGUAAACUUUCCAAAUCAAAAUCACUUUUCAACUAAGUUUACGAGUCUCAUUUCUUAAAAAUAGGUUUAGUACUUUAGCGUUCUGCGCACCUUUUAUAAGUGACAAUAAAAGGCCUUAAUUUAAGGGUAAACUCGGUUCUGAAUACGCGAAAGCGACAGUUCUUGUUAAAUGGAUUCUUUUCAAGAGUAGAAAAUAUAUUUAAGGGUAAACUCGGUUCUGAAUACGCGAAAGCGACAGUUCUUGUUAAAUGGAUUCUUUUCAAGAGUAGAAAAUAUUGCCUCAUAAGUAGUUCUAUUUAGACAAUCGAAACAUCACUUAACUGACAUGAAUUACAUUCAACAUGUCUUUACCUGCAUUUAUUAUUUACCGUUAUUUUGCAAACCCAAUAUCUCUUUUAUACUGUCUUAGAUAAACACCGUAACGAUAGUAAUCGAUAGAUUGACGAUUGGUCUCUGUGGGAUCGAUAUUCUUUUAUAUUACUUUGACGUUAUUCGUGCACUUGCGAAUCAUAAUAAUCAAGUUUUUGGCGUCCUUGCCGGGGACCAACUUCGUCAAAUUUCGUACCCUGUUGUUACACCGUAUAGACUAAGGCAUUAUUAGCCGGUAAAUGCGAAGAACCCGUAGUACCUAAAAUUUAGUAGAUCCUUUGGCGGAACCUGAACGUUAUACUCGUACACGCCUCUUACUCAUCCGAAUUAAGAAAGCUAUGGCCGAGAAUCGCGAUAGGCGACCUCUUAAGGAAUUUGCCCAACCCUCUGAUGAGGAACCUAGUUCGAGUAUAGUAAACCCCCUUAUACCUAUAAGAAAGCUAUGGCCGAGAAUCGCGAUAGGCGACCUCUUAAGGAAUUUGCCCAACCCUCUGAUGAGGAACCUAGUUCGAGUAUAGUAAACCCCCUUAUACCUGCUAACAAUUUCGAACUAAAACCGCCUUUGUUGCAAAUAGUGCAACAGAACCAAUAUGCAGGUCUCGCUACCGAGAACCCGAAUC